rnacentral:lncRNA from 1 species
AAUUAAUACCUGACACUACUAAUAAUCUCGAUCAGUAUCAUCAAUAAAUGCAUAAUCAUCAUCAUCACUAUAAUCAAUGACGGGCUCAUAGGGUUCAGUGGCAUCAACAUGUGGAAGGCCACCUUGACGUAAUCGGUCAAGCAAUGACAGGUCAUCCGCAGCAGUAACCUCUUCUUGUUCCGGCUCUUCUUGUUCCUCCUUGGGGGUGAUGUCGGAUUCACUGUCGCUGUCUACUUCAAUGUUUUGGGGUGAAGUAUAGCGGUUCUUGAAACACUUUUUGGAAAGACGUGUCUCUUGGAAGAAUUCUCCUUCAUAUGUGUUUGGGUUAAUGUGAGGUUCAUAAUCCUCUUCCUUUGGGGGAGAUAGUCUAGCACGUGGCGGCACUUCAUAAAUGACAUCCCAACCUUUCAGAUUUGGAUUAGUUUGGCAGGCCCACGGUAGAUAGAAUACUUGGGUCACCUGUUGAGCCGUAAUAUAGACAUCAGGAACAUCUAAAUGGGUGCUUUGGUUGAUUUCAACUAGCCCUAUAUGUUCAUGAGUCCUUCUAGUCUCCUUCGGCUGAAACCAAUAACAUUUGAAGACUACGACAUUCGGUGGGUUUUCACCAUAGAAUAGAAGUUCAUAAAUUGCUUCAACUCUCCCAUAAUACUCGGUACCUCCUUCGCCGAUAGCAGAUACACAACAAUUUGUAGACUUUCGGUCGGCCAUAGAUAGCUCUUUGCCAUAGGUACGAAAGCGAUACCCGUUGAUGUCGUAUUUGUCAAAUGAACGGACCUUAUAGUCAAAACCAUUAGUGACUUGUCUCAAUUCGACGUCCAUAGACUCUGAAUUAGCCUACAAGUUUAAUAUGAAAGGAUUGUUGCAUUACGCACAAAUUAGCGAAUGAAACCGGGAUAGCCGCCUACAAAUUAGCCUACAAGUCUAAUAGAAAUUACCGUUUGUUUGAACCAAGAGAUGAAACCGGGAUAGCUGCCUCCUUGCUUUGCGAGAAGCUCAUACUCUUCGACAGAAUCCUUUUGGAUCACCGCUCCAUACGAGAAUAAGGCGACGUAUCGACUGUAUGAAAUAUCCAGGAAUAAGAGCAGUUCAAAGGAAAUAGAAGUUGCGAAACUAUGUACCGAGAACUUACUCGAUGUACGGCCGCACUUCUAUCAGGUUGUUGAAGAUAUACAACGAAAUGGUCCGCCAUUGUUCGUUAUCCAAAGAUACUGGAUUUGAAACACUGGCUGGUGCAAGAUUCCCUUUGAAUAGGCUGAGGUUGGAUCCACCCUUUUUAGGGUCGUCAGCAUUGCACCGAGGCUUCGGAUUAUGCAAAUGACGAUUUUUGGCGUCGUAGUGUGCUGUCACGAAGUUUGCCGCCUCCUCAGUGAUGAAUGCCUCCGCCAUCGAUGCUUCAAUUCGACGUUUAUUUUUACAUUUUUGUCGAAGCGUCUUCUGCAUCCUCUCAGUUGGGUAGCACCAACAAUUUUGCACGGGCCCCCCCAAUCUUGCCUCGGUCGGGAGAUGCAAAAUCAAAUGUUGCAUUGGAUUAAAGAAGCCCGGUGGAAAGAUCUUCUCUAACUUGCAGAUCAACUCCGGCGCCAACUCUUCCAUUUCUUCUAGCACGCCAGGCGAUAGUUCUUUCGCACAAAGAACACGGAAGAAAUAGCUGAGUUCUGCCAGUACUAGCCAUUCAUCCUCAGGGAUGAAGCCACGCAACAUCACCGGCAUUACCCGCUCAAUCCAUAUGUGCCAAUCAUGACUCUUGAGACCAAAUAUCUUCAAUUUAUCAAGACUGGCUCCCCUCUGUAGAUUCGCUGCAUACCCAUCGGGGAACAUCAACUGCAUUUUCACCCACAAGAUAAUUUCCCUCAUAGCUGGCCUUCCAAGAUUGAACCAUGCCUUUGGCUUCGUCCAGUUCUGCUUUCCUUUCGGUUCUUUCAUGUUUUGUAACGGCCUAUCACAUAGCGCCUCCGGAUCGACUCUAGCCUUAGUAUUAUCCUUUGACUUCCCAUCUAUGCCGAACAAUGUACCAAAAAGUGCCUCGGCGAUAUUCUUCUCAGUGUGCAUCACGUCGAUGUUGUGUGGGCAAAGGAGGUCUUUGAAGUAAGGCAGAUCCCAUAAGCAUGUUUUGUGAGUCCAGGCGUGCUUAGAAUUAUACCCCUUGAAGUACCCUGGACGCUCUGGAUCUGGCUCGAGAGCGUUUAACUGAUCCAGGGUCUGUUGGCCUGUCAAUGCAAGUGGUGCAGAGUUUUUGACAACUCUACCUCUGAUGAAGUUCUUCUUGUCUUUCCUGAACUUAUGGCGAGGAUUCAGGAACUGUCUAUGCAUGUCGAAGCAAGAAAACUUGCGGCCGGCCUGAAGCCAACAAAACUCAAGAGCUCCCUUGCAUGUGGGGCACGGGAACCUUCCAUGCACACACCAGCCAACGAAUAGCGCAUACGCCGGCAAGUCAUGCGUCGAGUACAUGUACCAGACACGCAUUAUGAAGUUCCGUUUGCUAUAGGCGUCGUAUGUCUUGAACCCAUUAUCCCAGGCUUCUUGCAAUUCGUCCUUAAGCGGUUGCAUGUACACAUUCAUAUUUUUCCCCGGAUAGUUGGGCCCUGGAAUUAUCAACGUCAGGAAAAUGUUCUUUCUUUGCAUAAUCUGUCCGGGGGGAGAUUGAGUGGAAAGACAAAUACGGGCCAACAACUGUAUUGGGCUUCCGUCAUACCAAACACACUGAACCCAUCCGUGCUGAUGCCGACUCGAGGAUGCCUCGGAUCUGUCGCUUUGUCACCAUGUAAUUCAUCAAACUUUUUCCACGCAACACCAUCCGAUGUGUGUACAAUCAUCAGAUUCCCAUCUGCAUCUAGUUCGGUUCUUUUGCCCGUUUUGUGCCAUGUCAUCUGUCUGGCCGUCUCUUCGACCAUGAAAAGACGUUGAAGUCUUGGUACGACUGGCAUAUACCGAAGAACACUAACGGGGAUUUUGGUCUGUGUCUUCUCACCCAUACCGUUGUCUACCACAACAUACCUGGAAGACUUGCAAAUGGGACAAUAGUUCAAGUCCGCAUAGUCAAGCCUAAACAAGACACAUCCUUUCUCACAGGCAUGUAUCUUAUCAUAGGUCAUCUUCAGUGCAUGGAGGAUUUUGUCCGACUGGUACAGGUUUGCAGGCAUUACAUGGCCUUUGGGUAGAAAGCGUCCAAAUACUGUCAUCAUUGCAUCGUAGCAUUCUCUGCCCAAGUUGAACUGAGCCUUCAGAGCCAUUACUUGUGAGAUGGCAUCCAACUGACAAAGCUCAGUGUGCUCAAAUCUUUUAAUGAAAGUAGAUUAUUUUGUAAGUUUACAACUUUUAUGGAGCGGACAUUUUGAAGACUCCAACAUUUCAUUGAAGGCCUUUGCAGAUUCCUCCAUCUCCUCGUCCGAAUCCCGAGCAUCAUCGAAGUCUUGCACCAUGUUUUCCAUCCCGGUACCAUGCUCGUCAGUGCGACGAUGAUCCACCUCAGCUCGGUCACGUUGGGCAGACUCACCAUGAAAUGUCCACACCGUAUAAUCGGGCGUAAAACCACUCUUCUGCAGGUGUUUGCCCAUUUCAGCCUCUGUCCUCUUUUCCCAAUUGCCGCACCGUAAACAGGGGCACCAGGUUUUCCUCUGGCCAUUUGCAAAUGCGGCUCGCACAAACCCCUUGGUUUUUGUGAACCAUUCAGUGCUCCAUUUGUUCUGACCAGUGUGACCGGUGUACAUCCACGCACGAUCACUCAUCUUGACUUUCAGAGCUACUAGACACACAACAAAUAUAUAUAUAUAUAUAUAUAUAAUUCACCAUGUAUAUAUUCAUCAGUUGAUCUACUUUGUCAAUUUUAUUACGUCCAUGCAACCUACACUCUAAUAGGUAAUGAUAGGUCCUAAUCCCACCCGAGUAUGUUUAGAUUGGGUUCAUUUUCCCAUGCUAUGCUCCGGAUCCUACGCAAAAUUUCGGCAGCACCUCCCCGUUGUUCUCCUGAUACACGUCUCUGCAAUAAACAGAGAGGAUGUGUACCCGGAGAACAACAGGGGAGGCACUGACGAAAUUUAUGCGUCGGAUCCGGAGCAAAGCAUAUGGGAAAACGAACCCAAUCUAAACAUACUCGGGCUGUCCAUGGAUAGCGUUGGACAAUUCGAAAGAAUCAAGGUUAUAAAUAUGCAAAUGCAUGCAUAUUUAUAACUAUGACGCUUUUGAACGGGAGACACAUAUUGGUUACGCAUACUGAUGAUUCAAGACACAUAUAUAGCUAGCUAUCAAGUUUCAUCGGAAUAGAUCAAAUAAUUAAUGGGGGAGGAGGACAUGUCAUUUGUGCUCACCCACGAACGAAGGGGCAGAGCUCGUCAAACGCACGGCGAGGUCGUCGAACACCAAACCUCGCAGCGAUGAAACAACUGCACAUUUAAAACUACCCGAUCAACACAAUUAUAUAUGAUGUUUUUCAUAACAAAAUCGAAAAAUAUAUGACCUAACUAUUAAUUCACAAAUAUAUGACCCCGUCGGCUUCUAGAAGGCCAAAGAACACCUUUUCGGGAGGUGUCGGGGGUCGGGGUGUCGUGUCGGUGUCGGGGUGCCGUGUCGGGGUCGGGGUUGGGGUCUCGGGGUCGGGGUNNNNNNNNNNNNNNNNNNNNNNNNNNNNNNNNNNNNNNNNNNNNNNNNNNNNNNNNNNNNNNNNNNNNNNNNNNNNNNNNNNNNNNNNNNNNNNNNNNNNNNNNNNNNNNNNNNNNNNNNNNNNNNNNNNNNNNNNNNNNNNNNNNNNNNNNNNNNNNNNNNNNNNNNNNNNNNNNNNNNNNNNNNNNNNNNNNNNNNNNNNNNNNNNNNNNNNNNNNNNNNNNNNNNNNNNNNNNNNNNNNNNNNNNNNNNNNNNNNNNNNNNNNNNNNNNNNNNNNNNNNNNNNNNNNNNNNNNNNNNNNNNNNNNNNNNNNNNNNNNNNNNNNNNNNNNNNNNNNNNNNNNNNNNNNNNNNNNNNNNNNNNNNNNNNNNNNNNNNNNNNNNNNNNNNNNNNNNNNNNNNNNNNNNNNNNNNNNNNNNNNNNNNNNNNNNNNNNNNNNNNNNNNNNNNNNNNNNNNNNNNNNNNNNNNNNNNNNNNNNNNNNNNNNNNNNNNNNNNNNNNNNNNNNNNNNNNNNNNNNNNNNNNNNNNNNNNNNNNNNNNNNNNNNNNNNNNNNNNNNNNNNNNNNNNNNNNNNNNNNNNNNNNNNNNNNNNNNNNNNNNNNNNNNNNNNNNNNNNNNNNNNNNNNNNNNNNNNNNNNNNNNNNNNNNNNNNNNNNNNNNNNNNNNNNNNNNNNNNNNNNNNNNNNNNNNNNNNNNNNNNNNNNNNNNNNNNNNNNNNNNNNNNNNNNNNNNNNNNNNNNNNNNNNNNNNNNNNNNNNNNNNNNNNNNNNNNNNNNNNNNNNNNNNNNNNNNNNNNNNNNNNNNNNNNNNNNNNNNNNNNNNNNNNNNNNNNNNNNNNNNNNNNNNNNNNNNNNNNNNNNNNNNNNNNNNNNNNNNNNNNNNNNNNNNNNNNNNNNNNNNNNNNNNNNNNNNNNNNNNNNNNNNNNNNNNNNNNNNNNNNNNNNNNNNNNNNNNNNNNNNNNNNNNNNNNNNNNNNNNNNNNNNNNNNNNNNNNNNNNNNNNNNNNNNNNNGGUGGGGUGGGGAGCGUCGGCGAGGAGAGAGAGGGAGAGAACAGUGAGUAACGGGCGGGGGGGUACGGGCCGUUAGGUAGUCUCCUCUUUGCCGUCCGCCACUCUUUGUCGUCCGCCCUUUUGCCUCUUUGCCGUCUGCUGGCAGACGGAAAAGAGGUGGGGCGUUAAGUUUUUUCCAAACGGGCGGGGGGUGGGGCCACCUCUCUCUUUGCCGUCUGCCAACGGACGGCAAAGAUUCUUUGCCGUCUGCCAACGGACGGCAAAGAUUCUUUGCCGUCUGCUGGCAGACGGCAAAGAGCUCGCAGAUGGCAAAGAGCUUCUUUGCCGUCUGCCAUUUCUUUGCCAUCUGCUUUUGGGUAGCUGAUGGCAAAGAGCUUCUUUGUCGUCAGCUAGCAGAUGGCAAAGAGCUGGCAGAUGGCAAAUUAGCUGAUUCCAGUAGUGUAUGCAGAUAUGACCUCGGAACACUGAGACCGAAAGGUCGAGCGUGAAUCAUAUAGUAGAUAUGAUCAACAUAGUGAUGUUCACCAUUGAAAACUACUCCAUUUCACGCGAUGAUCGGUUAUGGUUUAGUUGAUUUGGAUCACAUGAUCACUUAGAUGAUUAGAGGGAUGUCUAUCUAAGUGGGAGUUCUUAAGUAAUCUGAUUAAUUGAACUUAAAUUUAUCAUGAACUUAGUACCUGAUAGUAUUUUGCUUGUCUAUGUUGUUGUAGAUAGAUGGCCCGUGCUGUUGUUCCGUUGAAUUUUAAUGCGUUCCUUGAGAUAGAAAAUUUUAAAGAUGAUGGUAGCAAUUACACGGACUGGGUCCAUAACUUGAGGAUUAUCCUCAUUGCUGCACAGAAGAAUUACGUCCUGAAAGCACCGCUAGGUGCCAAACCUGCUGCAGGAGCAACACCAGAUGUUAUGAACGUCUGGCAGAGCAAAGCUGAUGACUACUCGAUAGUUCAGUGUGCCAUGCUUUACAGCUUAGAGCCGGGACUUCAACGACGUUUUGAAUGUCAUGCAGCAUAUGAGAUGUUCCAGGAGUUGAAGUUAAUAUUUCAACCAAAUGCCCGGAUUGAGAGAUAUGAAGUCUCCAAUAAGUUCUACAGCUGCAAGAUGGAGGAGAAUAGUUCUGUCAGUGAGCAUAUACUCAGAAUGUCUGGGUAUAACAAUCACUUAAUUCAGCUGGGAGUUAAUCUUCCGGAUGAUAGUGUUAUUGACAGAAUUCUUCAAUCACUGCCACCAAGCUACAAGAGCUUAGUGAUGAACUAUAACAUGCAAGGGAUGGAUAAGACGAUUCUUGGCGAGUUAAUUGGGCCUCACGGGCCUUAGUGGGAGAAGAGGAGGGGCGGCCAAGGGCAGCCGCGCGCCCACUACCCCUCUAGUCCGAAUUGGACAAGGAGGGGGGCAGCGCCCCCCUUUCCUUCUCUUCCUCUCUCCCUUCCUUCUCCCCUCCUACUCCAACUAGGAAAAGAGGGAGUCCUACUCCCGGUGGGAGUAGGACUCCCCCCUUGGCGCGCCCUCCUCCUGGUCGGCCGCCUCCCCCUAGCUCCUUUAUAUACGGGGGCAGGGGGUACCCCAUAGACACACAAGUUGAUCUGUUGAUCUCUCCCAACCGUGUGCUGUGCCCCCCUCCACCAUAAUCCACCUCGAUCAUAGCGUAGCGGUACUUAGGCGAAGCCCUGCGUCGGUACCAUCAUCAUCACGCCGUCGUGCUGACGAAACUCUCCUGUGAAGCUUUGCUGGAUCGGAGCUCGCGGGACGUCAUCGAGUUAAACGUGUGCUGAACUCGGAGGUGUUGUGCGUUUGGUACUUGGAUCGGUCGGAUCGUGAAGACGUACGACUACAUCAACCGCAUUGUGUUAAUGCUUCCGCUUUCGGUCUACGAGGGUACGUGGACACACUCUCCCCUCUCGUUGCUAUGCAUCACCAUGAUCCUGCCUGUGCACAGGAAAUUUUUUGAAAUUACUACGUUCCCCAACAGCACUUUUUUUACACUCGUUACUUGUUACCCGUUACAAAUUACCAUAUCACAAAACUAUAUGUUACCGAUAAUUUCAGUGCUUGCAGAGAAUACCUUGCUGAAAACCGCUUAUCAUUUCCUCCUGCUCCUCAUUGGGUUCGACACUCUUACUUAUCGAAAGGACUACGAUAGAUCCCCUAUACUUGUGGGUCAUCAAGACUCUUUUCUGGCACCGUUGCCGGGGAGUGAAGCGCCUUUGGUUGGUGGAAUUUGGUAAGGAAAAAUCUAUAUAGUGUGCUGAAAUUUACUGUCACUUGUUACUAUGGAACAUAAUCCUUUGAGGGGCUUGUUCGGGGUAUCUUCACCCCGACCAGUAGAGCAAAGAGUUUCUCCUCAACCUACUGAACCUACUGAAAAUGUUUACUUUGAAAUUCCUUCGGGUAUGAUAGAGAAACUGCUAGCUAAUCCUUUUGCAGGAGAUGGAACAUUGCAUUCCGAUUUACACUUAAUAUAUGUGGAUGAAGUUUGUGGAUUAUUUAAUCUUGCAGGUAUGCCCGAUGAUGUUAUCAAGAAGAAGGUCUUCCCUUUAUUUUUGAAGGGAGAGGCAUUGACAUGGUAUAGGCUAUGUGAUGAUAUGGGAUCAUGGAACUAUAAACGAUUGAAAUUGGAAUUUCAUCAGAAGUUUUAUCCUAUGCAUCUUGUUCAUCGUGAUCGUAAGAUCUAUCUAGGAGAAGCAUAGCAACGAGCGGGGAGAGUGUGUCCACGUACCCUCGUAGACCAAAAGCGGAAGCGUUUAGUAAUGCGGUUGAUGUAGUCGAACGUCAUCAUGAUCCAACCGCUCCAAGUACCGAACGUACGGCACCGCCGAGUUUUGCACACGUUCAGCACGAUGACGUCCCUUGAGCUCUUGAUCUAGUUGGGGACGAGGGAGAGUUUCGUCAGCAUGACGGCGUGGCGACGGUGAUGACGAUGUUACCGGCGUAGGGCUUCGCCUAAGCACUAUGACGAUAUGACCGAGGUGUGUAACUGUGGAGGGGGGCACCGCACACGGCUAAGAGAAGACUUGUUGUCCUUUGGGGUGCCCCCCUCCCACGUAUAUAAAGGAGGGGGAAAGAGGAGGCCGGCCCAAGGGGGGCGCGCCAAGGGGGGAGUCCUACUUGGACUCCCGGUCCAAGUAGGAUUCUCCCCCCCCCCUUUCCUGUUGGGGAACGUAGUAAUUUCAAAAAAAUUCCUACGCACACGCAAGAUCAUGGUGGUGCAUAGCAACGGGAGGGGAGAGUGUUGUCCACGUACCCUCGUAGACCGACAGCGGAAGCGUUAUCACAACGCGGUUGAUGUAGUCGUACGUCUUCACGAUCCGACCGAUCAAGUACCGAACGCACGGCACCUCCGAGUUCUGCACACGUUCAGCUCGAUGACGUCCCUCGAACUCCGAUCCAGCCGAGUGUUGAGGGAGAGUUUCGUCAGCACGACGGCGUGGUGACGAUGUUGAUGUUCCACCGAUGCAGGGCUUCGCCUAAGCUCCGCAACGGUAUUAUCGAGGUGUAAUAUGGUGGAGGGGGGCACCGCACACGGCUAAAAUAUCGUAUAUCAAGUGUGUAUAGAGGUGCCGCCUGCCCCCGUAUAUAAAGGAGCAAGGGGGAGGCCGGCUGCCCUAGGCGCGCCAAGGAGAGGGGGAGUCCUCCUCCUAGUAGGAGUAGGACUCCCCUUUCCUAGUCCAACUAGGAAAAGAGGGGGAGGAAAGAGAGGGAGAGGGAGAGGGAAAGGGGGCUGCGCCCCCCUCUCCUAGUCCAACUAGGAUUCCUCCUGGGAGGGGGCGCGCCACCUCCUGGCUGCUGCCCUCUCUCUCCCCUCUAGGCCCACUAAGGCCCAAUACUUCCCCGGGGGGUUCCGGUAACCCUCCGGCACUCCGGUUAAAUCCGAAACUUCUCCGGAACACUUCCGGUGUCCGAAUAUAGUCGUCCAAUAUAUCAAUCUUUACGUCUCGACCAUUUCGAGACUCCUCGUCACGUCCGUGAUCACAUCCGGAACUCCGAACAACCUUCGGUACAUCAAAACAUAUAAACUCAUAAUAUAACUGUCAUCGUAACUUUAAGCGUGCGGACCCUACGGGUUCGAGAACUAUGUAGACAUGACCGAGACACCUCUCCGGUCAAUAACCAAUAGCGGAACCUGGAUGCUCAUAUUGGUUCCUACAUAAUCUACGAAGAUCUUUAUCGGUCAGACCGCAUAACAACAUACGUUGUUCCCUUUGUCGUCGGUAUGUUACUUGCCCGAGAUUCGAUCGUCGGUAUCUCGGUACCUAGUUCAAUCUCGUUACCGGCAAGUCUCUUUACUCGUUCCGUAAUACAUCAUCCCACGACUAACUCAUUAGUCACAAUGCUUGCAAGGCUUAUAGUGAUGUGCAUUACUGAGUGGGCCCAGAGAUACCUCUCCGACAAUCGGAGUGACAAAUCCUAAUCUCGAAAUACGCCAACCCAACAAGUACCUUUGGAGACACCUGUAGAGCACCUUUAUAAUCACCCUUUUACGUUGUGACAUUUGGUAGCACACAAACUGUUCCUCCGGUAAACGGGAGUUGCAUAAUCUCAUAGUCAUAGGAACAUGUAUAAGUCAUGAAGAAAGCAAUAGCAACAUACUAAACGAUCGGGUGCUAAGCUAACGGAAUGGGUCAAGUCAAUCACGUCAUUCUCCUAAUGAGGUGAUCCCGUUAAUCAAAUGACAACUCAUGUCUAUGGCUAGGAAACAUAACCAUCUUUGAUUAACGAGCUAGUCAAGUAGAGGCAUACUAGUGACACUCUGUUUGUCUAUGUAUUCACACAUGUAUUAUGUUUCCGGUUAAUACAAUUCUAGCAUGAAUAAUAAACAUUUAUCAUGAUACAAGGAAAUAAAUAAUACUUUAUUAUUGCCUCUAGGGCAUAUUUCCUUCAGUCUCCCACUUGCACUAGAGUCAAUAAUCUAGAUUACACAGUAAUGAUUCUCACACCCAUGGAGUCUUGGUGCUGAUCAUGUUUUGCUCGUGGAAGAGGCUUAGUCAACGGGUCUGCAACAUUCAGAUCCGUAUGUAUCUUGCAAAUUUCUAUGUCUCCCACCUGGACUAAAUCCCGGAUGGAAUUGAAGCGUCUUUUGAUGUGCUUGGUUCUCUUGUGAAAUCUGGAUUACUUUGCUAAGGCAAUUGCACCAGUAUUGUCACAAAAGAUUUUCAUUGGUCCCGAUGCACUAGGUAUGACACCUAGAUCGGAUAUGAACUCCUUCAUCCAGACUCCUUCAUUUGCUGCUUCCGAAGCAGCUAUGUACUCUGCUUCACACGUAGAUCCCGCCACGACACUUUGCUUAGAACUGCACCAACUGACAGCUCCACCGUUCAAUGUAAAUACGUAUCCGGUUUGCGAUUUAGAAUCGUCCGGAUCAGUGUCAAAGCUUGCAUCAACGUAACCAUUUAUGAUGAGCUCUUUGUCACCUCCAUAAAUGAGAAACAUAUCCUUAGUCCUUUUCAGGUAUUUCAGGAUGUUCUUGACCGCUGUCCAGUGAUCCACUCCUGGAUUACUUUGGUACCUCCCUGCUAAACUUAUAGCAAGGCACACAUCAGGUCUGGUACACAGCAUUGCAUACAUGAUAGAGCCUAUGGCUGAAGCAUAGGGGACAUCUUUCAUCUUCUCUCUAUCUUCUGCAAUGGUCGGGCAUUGAGUCUUACUCAAUCUCACACCUUGUAGUACAGGCAAGAACCCUUUCUUUGCUUGAUCCAUUUUGAACUUCUUCAAAACUUUGUCAAGGUAUGUGCUUUGUGAAAGUCCAAUUAAGCGUCUUGAUCUAUCUCUAUAGAUCUUAAUGCCUAAUAUAUAUGCAGCUUCACCGAGGUCUUUCAUUGAAAAACUCUUAUUCAAGUAUCCCUUUAUGCUAUCCAGAAAUUCUAUAUCAUUUCCAAUCAGCAAUAUGUCAUCCACAUAUAAUAUCAGAAAUGCUAUCGAGCUCCCACUCACUUUCUUGUAAAUACAGGCUUCUCCAAAAGUCUGUAUAAAACCAAAUGCUUUGAUCACACUAUCAAAGCGUUUAUUCCAACUCCGAGAGGCUUGCACCAGUCCAUAAAUGGAUCGCUGGAGCUUGCACACUUUGUUAGCUCCCUUUGGAUCGACAAAACCUUCCGAUUGCAUCAUAUACAACUCUUCUUCCAGAAAUCCAUUCAGGAAUGCAGUUUUGACAUCCAUUUGCCAAAUAAAAUGCAGCAAUAGCUAACAUGAUUCGGACAGACUUAAGCAUCGCUACGGGUGAGAAGGUCUCAUCAUAGUCAAUCCCUUGAACUUGUCGAAAACCUUUCGCAACAAGUCGAGCUUUAUAGACAGUAACAUUACCAUCAGCGUCAGUCUUCUUCUUGAAGAUCCAUUUAUUUUCAAUGGCUUGCCGACCAUCAGGCAAGUCAACCAAAGUCCAUACUUUGUUCUCAUACAUGGAUCCCAUCUCGGAUUUCAUGGCUUCAAGCCAUUUUGCGGAAUCUGGGCUCACCAUCGCUUCUUCAUAGUUCGUAGGUUCAUCAUGGUCUAGCAACAUGACCUCCAGAACAGGAUUACCGUACCACUCUGGUGCGGACCUUGAUCUAGUUGACCUACGAGGUUCAGUAAUAACUUGAUCUGAAGUUUCAUGAUCAUUAUCAUUAACUUCCUCACUAAUUGGUGUAGUUGUCGCAGAAACUGAUUUCUGCGAUGAUCUACUUUCCAAUAAGGGAGCAGGUACAGUUACCUCAUCAAGUUCUACUUUCCUCCCACUCACAUCUUUCAAGAGAAACUCCUUCUCUAGAAAAGAUCCAUUCCUAGCAACGAAUAUCUUGCCUUCGGAUCUGUGAUAGAAAGUGUACCCAGCAGUCUCUUUUGGGUAUCCUAUGAAGACACAUUUCUCCGAUUUAGGUUCGAGCUUAUCAGGUUGAAGUUUCUUCACAUAAGCAUCGCAACCCCAAAUUUUAAGAUACGACAACUUUGGUUUCUUGCCAAACCAUAGUUCAUAAGGCGUCGUCUCAACGGAUUUUGAUGGUGUCCUAUUUAGAGUGAAUGCAGCCGUCUCUAAAGCAUAACCCCAAAAUGAUAGCGGUAAAUCAGUAAGAGACAUCAUAGAUUGUACCAUAUCUAAUAAAGUACGAUUACGACAUUCAGACACACCAUUACGCUGUGGUGUUCCGGGUGGCGUGAGUUGCGAAACUAUUCUGCAUUGUUUCAAAUGUAGGCCAAACUCGUAACUCAAAUAUUCUCCUCCACGAUCAGAUCGUAGGAAUUUUAUUUUCUUGUUACGAUGAUUUUCAACUUCACUCUGAAAUUCUUUGAACUUUUCAAAUGUUUCAGACUUAUGUUUCAUUAAGUAGAUAUACCCAUAUCUGCUCAAAUCAUCUGUGAAGGUGAGAAAAUAACGAUAUCCGCCACGAGCCUCAAUAUUCAUCGGACCACAUACAUCUAUAUGUAUGAUUUCCAACAAAUCUGUUGCUCUCUCCAUAGUUCCGGAGAAUGGUGUUUUGGUCAUCUUGCCCAUGAGGCACGGUUCGCAAGUACCAAGUGAUUCAAAAUCAAGUGAUUUCAAAAUUCCAUCAGUAUGGAGUUUCUUCAUGCGCUUUACACCGAUAUCACCCAAACGGCAAUGCCACAAAUAAGUUGCACUGUCAUUAUCAACUCUGCAUCUUUUGGCUUCGACAUUAUGAAUAUGUGUAUCACUACUAUCGAGAUUCAUUAAAAAUAGACCACUCUUCAAGGGUGCAUGACCAUAAAAGAUAUUAUUCAUAUAAAUAGAACAACCAUUAUUCUCUGAUUUAAAUGAAUAACCGUCUCGCAUUAAACAAGAUCCAGAUAUAAUGUUCAUGCUCAACGCUGGCACCAAAUAACAAUUAUUUAGGUCUAAAACUAAUCCCGAAGGUAGAUGUAGAGGUAGCGUGCCGACGGCGAUCACAUCGACUUUGGAACCAUUUCCCACGCGCAUCGUCACCUCGUCCUUAGCCAAUCUUCGCUUAAUCUGUAGCCCCUGUUUCGAGUUGCAAAUAUUAGCAACAGAACCAGUAUCAAAUACCCAGGUGCUACUGCGAGUAUUAGUAAGGUACACAUAAAUAACAUGUAUAUCACAUAUACCUUUGUUAGCCUUGCCAUCCUUCUUAUCCGCCAAAUACUUGGGGCAGUUCCGCUUCCAGUGACCAGUCUGCUUACAGUAGAAGCACUCAGUUUCAGGCUUAGGUCCAGACUUGGAUUUCUUCUCCUGAACAGCAACUUGCUUGCUGUUCUUCUUGAAGUUCCCUUUCUUCUUCCCUUUGCCCUUUUUCUUGAAACUAGUGGUUUUGCUGACCAUCAACACUUGAUGCUCCUUUUUGAUUUCUACCUCCGCUGCCUUUAGCAUUGCGAAGAGCUCGGGAAUUGUCUUAUCCAUCCCUUGCAUGUUAUAGUUCAUCACGAAGCUCUUGUAGCUUGGUGGCAGUGAUUGAAGAAUUCUGUCAAUGACGCAAUCAUCCGGAAGUUGAACUCCCAGUUGAAUCAAGUGAUUAUUAUACCCAGACAUUCUGAGUAUAUGCUCACUGACAGAACUAUUCUCUUCCAUCUUACAGCUAUAGAACUUAUUGGAGACUUCAUAUCUCUCAAUCCGGGCAUUUGCUUGAAAUAUUAACUUCAACUCCUGGAACAUCUCAUAUGCUCCAUGACGUUCAAAACGUCGUUGAAGACCCAGUUCUAAGCCGUAAAGCAUGGCACACUGAACUAUUGAGUAGUCAUCAGCUUUGAUCUGCCAGACGUUCAUAACUUCUGGCGUCGCUCUUGCAGGAGGCCUGGCACCUAGCGGUGCUUCUAGGACGUAAUUCUUCUGUGCAGCAAUGAGGAUAAUCCUCAAGUUACCGACCCAGUCUGUGUAAUUGCUACCAUCAUCUUUCAACUUAGCUUUCUCAAGGAACGCAUUAAAAUUCAACGGAACAACAGCACGGGCCAUUUAUCUACAAUUAACAUAGACAGGCAAGAUACUAUCAGGUACUAAGUUCAUGAUAAAUUAAAGUUCAAUUAAUCAUAUUACUUAAGAACUCCCACUUAGAUAGACAUCCCUCUAAUCAUCUAAGUGAUUACGUGAUCCAAAUCAACUAAACCAUGUCCGAUUAACACGUGAGAUGGAGUAGUUUCAAUGGUGAACAUCACUAUGUUGAUCAUAUCUACUAUAUGUUUCACGCUCGACCUUUCGGUCUCUGUGUUCCGAGGCCAUAUCUGUAUAUGCUAGGCUCGUCAAGUUUAACCUGAGUAUUCCGCGUGUGCAACUGUUUUGCACCCGUUGUAUUUGAACGUAGAGCCUAUCACACCCGAUUAACACGUGGUGUCUCAGCAUGAAGAACUUUCGCAACGGUGCAUACUCAGGGAGAACACUUUAUCUUGAAAUUUUAGUGAGAGAUCAUCUUAUAAUGCUACCGUCAAUCAAGGCAAGAUAAGAUGCAUAAAGGAUUAACAUCACAUGCAAUCAAUAUAAGUGAUAUGAUAUGGCCAUCAUCAUCUUGUGCUUGUGAUCUCCAUCUCCGAAGCACCGUCAUGAUCACCAUCGUCACCGGCGUGACACCUUGAUCUCCAUCGUAGUAUCGUUGUCGUCUCGCCAACUUUUUUCUUUUACUACUAUCGCUACCGCUUAGUGAUAAAGUAAAACUAUUACAUGGCGAUUGCAUUUCAUACAAUAAAGCGACAACCAUAUGGCUCCUGCUAGUAGCCGAUAACUCGGUUACAAAACAUGAUCAUCUCAUACAACAAAUUAUAUCACAUCAUGUCUUGACCAUAUCACAUCACAACAUGCCCUGCAAAAACAAGUUAGACGUCCUCUACUUUGUUGUUGCAAGUUUUACGUGGCUGCUACGGGCUUAGCAAGAACCGUUCUUACCUACGCAUCAAAACCACAACGAUAGUUUGUCAAGUUGGUGUUGUUUUAACCUUUGCAAGGACCGGGCGUAGCCACACUCGGUUCAACUAAAGUGGGAGAGACAGACACCCGCCGGUCACCUUUAAGCAACGAGUGCUCGCAACGGUGAAACCAGUCUCGCGUAAGCGUACGCGUAAUGUCGGUCCGGGCCGCUUCAUCUCACAAUACCGCUGAACCAAAGUAUGACAUGCUGGUAAGCAGUAUGACUUAUAUCGCCCACAACUCACUUGUGGUCUACUCGUGCAUAGCAUCAACUCAUAAAACCAGGCUCUGAUACCACUGUUGGGGAACGUAGUAAUUUCAAAAAAAUUCCUACGCACACCCAAGAUCAUGGUGAUGCAUAGCAACGGGAGGGGAGAGUGUUGUCCACGUACCCUCGUAGACUGACAGCGGAAGCGUUAUCACAACGCGGUUGAUGUAGUCGUACGUCUUCACGAUCCGGCCGAUCAAGUACCGAACGCACGGCACAUCCGAGUUCUGCACACGUUCAGCUCGAUGACGUCCCUCGAACUCCGAUCCAGCCGAGUGUUGAGGGAGAGUUUCGUCCGCACGACGGCGUGGUGACAAUGUUGAUGUUCCACCGAUGCAGGGCUUCGCCUAAGCUCCGCAACGGUAUUAUCGAGGUGUAAUAUGGUGGAGGGGGGCACCGCACAUGGCUAAAAUAUCAUAUAUCAAGUGUGUAUAGAGGUGCCCCCCUGCCCCCGUAUAUAAAGGAGCAAGGGGGAGGCCGGCUGCCCUAGGCGCGCCAAGCUGAGGGGGGAGUCCUCCUCCUAGUAGGAGUAGGACUCCCCUUUCCUAGUCCAACUAGGAAAAGAGGGGGGAAGGAAAGAGAGGGAGAGGGAGAGGGAAAGGGGGCUGCGCCCCCCUCUCCUAGUCCAACUAGGAUUCCUCCUGGGAGGGGGCGCGCCACCUCCUGGCUGCUGCCCUCUCUCUCCCCUCUAGGCCCACUAAGGCCCAAUACUUCCCCGGGGGGUUCCGGUAACCCUCCGGCACUCCGGUUAAAUCCGAAACUUCUCCGGAACACUUCCGGUGUCCGAAUAUAGUCGUCCAAUAUAUCAAUCUUUAUGUCUCGACCAUUUCGAGACUCCUCGUCAUGUCCGUGAUCACAUCCGGGACUCCGAACAACCUUCGGUACAUCAAAACAUAUAAACUCAUAAUAUAACUCAAAAGGGGGCUGCUGUUGGAAAUAUGCCCUAGAGGCAAUAAUAAAUGGUUAUUAUUAUAUUUCUUUGUUCAUGGUAAUUGUCUAUUGUUCAUGCUAUAAUUGUAUUGUCCGGAAAUUGUAAUACAUGUGUGAAUACAUAGACCACAACGUGUCCCUAGUAAGCCUCUAGUUGACUAGCCCGUUGAUCAACAGAUAGUCAUGGUUUCCUGACUAUGGACAUUGGAUGUCAUUGAUAACGGGAUCACAUCAUUAGGAGAAUGAUGUGAUGGACAGGACCCAAUCCUAAGCAUAGCAUAAAAGAUCGUGUAGUUUCGUUUGCUAGAGCUUUUCCAAUGUCAAGUAUCUUUUCCUUAGACCAUGAGAUCGUGCAACUCCCGGAUACCGUAGGAGUGCUUUGGGUGUGCCAAACGUCACAACGUAACUGGGUGACUAUAAAGGUGCACUACGGGUAUCUCCGAAAGUGUCCGUUGGGUUGGCACGGAUCGAGACUGGGAUUUGUCACUCCGUGUGACGGAGAGGUAUCUCUGGGCCCACUCGGUAAUGCAUCAUCAUAAUGAGCUCAAUGUGACUAAGGCGUUAGUCAUGGGAUCAUGCAUUGCGGUACGAGUAAAGAGACUUGCCGAUAACGAGAUUGAACAAGGUAUUGGGAUACCGACGAUCGAAUCUCGGGCAAGUAACAUACCGAUUAACAAAGGGAAUUGUAUACGGGAUUGAUUGAAUCCUCGACAUCGUGGUUCAUCCGAUGAGAUCGUCGUGGAACAUGUGGGAACCAACAUGGGUAUCCAGAUCCCGCUGUUGGUUAUUGACCGGAGAGGCGUCUCGGUCAUGUCUGCAUGUCUCCCGAACCCGUAGGGUCUACACACUUAAGGUUCGGUGACGCUAGGGUUGUAGAGAUAUGUGUAUGCGGAAACACGAAAGUUGUUCGGAGUCCCGGAUGAGAUCCCGGACGUCACGAGGAGUUCCGGAAUGGUCCGGAGGUGAAGAAUUAUAUAUAGGAAGUCAAGUUUCGGCCACCGGGAAAGUUUCGGGGGUUACCGGUAUUGUACCGGGACCACCGGAAGGGUCCCGGGGGUCCACCGGGUGGGGCCACCUAUCCCGGAGGGCCCCGUGGGCUGAAGUGGGAAGGGAACCAGCCCCUAGUGGGCUGGGCGUCCCACCAUGGGCCUCCCCCCAUGCGCCUAGGGUUGCAAACCCUAGGGUGGGGGGGCUUCCCACUUGCCUUGGGGGGCAAGGCACCCCCUUGGCCGCCGCCCCCCACCCUAGAUGGGGUUUGGCCGGCGCCCCCCCCCCCCCUCCCAGGGGGCCUAUAUAAAGGGGGGAGGGAGGGCAGCAACAUCUCAGCCUUGGGCGCCUCCCUCCUCCCUUGCUACACCUCUUUCUCUCGUAGAAGCUCGGCGAAGCCCUGCCGGCAUCCCGCUACAUCCACCACCACGCCGUCGUGCUGCUGGAUCUCCAUCAACCUCUCCUUCCCCCUUGCUGGAUCAAGAAGGAGGAGACGUCACUGCACCGUACGUGUGUUGAACGCGGAGGUGCCGUCCGUUCGGCACUCGGUCAUCGGUGAUUUGGAUCACGGCGAGUACGACUCCGUCAUCCACGUUCAUUGGAACGCUUCCGCUCGCGAUCUACAAGGGUAUGUAGAUGCACUCCUUUCCCCUCGUUGCUAGUAUACUCCAUAGAUGCAUCUUGGUGAGCGUAGGAAAAUUUUAAAAUUAUGCUACGAUUCCCAACAGUGGCAUCAAGAGCCAGGCCUAUGCGUAGUUACUAUGCACGAGUAGAACACAAAGCAGUUGUGGGCGUUGAGUUUGCCAAUUCUUCUUGCCGCUACUAGUCUUAUCUUGUUUCGGCGGCAUUGUGGGAUGAAGCGGCCCGGACCGACCUUACACGUGCGCCUACGUGAGACAGGUUCCACCGACUGACAUGCACUAGUUGCAUAAGGUGGCUAGCGGGUGUCUGUCUCUCCUACUUUAGUCGGAACGGAUUCGAUGAAAAGGGUCCUUAUGAAGGGUAAAUAGAAAUUGGCAAAUCACGUUGUGGUCAUACGUAAGUAAGAAACGUUCUUGCUAGAAACCUAUAAACCACGUAAAAACUUGCAACAACAAUUAGAGGACGUCUAACUUGUUUUUGCAGCAUGUGUUAUGUGAUGUGAUAUGGCCAGAAGAUGUGAUGAAUGAUAUAUGUGAUGUAUCAGAUUGAUCAUAUUCUUGUAAUAGGAAUCACGACUUGCAUGUCGAUGAGUAUGACAACCGGCAGGAGCCAUUGGAGUUGUCUUUAUUAUUUUGUAUGACCUGCGUGUCAUUGAAUAACGCCAUGUAAAUUACUUUACUUUGUUGCUAAACGCGUUAGCCAUAGAAGUAGAAGUAAUCGUUGGCAUGACGACUUCAUGAAGACACAAUGAUGGAGAUCAUGAUGAUGGAGAUCAUGGUGUCAUGCCGGUGACGAAGAUGAUCAUGGUGCCCCGAAGAUGGAGAUCAGAGGAGCAAAAUGAUAUUGGCCAUAUCAUGUCACUAUUUGAUUGCAUGUGAUGUUUAUCAUGUUUUUGCAUCUUAUUUGCUUAGAACGACGGUAGUAAGUAAGAUGAUCCCUUAUGAUAAUUUCAAGAAAAGUGUUCCCCCUAACUGUGCACCGUUGCGAAGGUUCGUUGUUUCGAAGCACCACGUGAUGAUCGGGUGUGAUAGAUUCUAACGUUCGAAUACAACGGGUGUUGACGAGCCUAGCAUGUACAGACAUGGCCUCGGAACACACGCAAUACACUUAGGUUGACUUGACGAGCCUAGCAUGUACAGACAUGGCCUCGAAACACGGAGGACCGAAAGGUCGAGCAUGAGUCGUAUAGAAGAUACGAUCAACAUGGAGAUGUUCACCGAUCUUGACUAGUCCGUCUCACGUGAUGAUCGGACACGGCCUAGUUAACUCGGAUCAUGUUUCACUUAGAUGACUAGAGGGUUGUCUAUCUGAGUGGGAGUUCAUUGAAUAAUUUGAUUAGAUGAACUUAAUUAUCAUGAACUUAGUCUAAAAUCUUUACACUAUGUCUUGUAGAUCAAAUGGCCAACGUUGUCCUCAGUUUCAACGCGUUCCUAGAGAAAACCAAGCUGAAAGAUGAUGGCAGCAACUAUACGGACUGGGUCCGGAACCUGAGGAUCAUCCUCAUAGUAGCCAAGAAAGAUUAUGUCUUAGAAGCACCACUAGGUGAUGCACCAAUCCCACAGAACCAAGACGUUAUGAACGCUUGGCAGCAUCGUGCUGAUGAUUACUCCCUCGUUCAGUGCGGCAUGCUUUACAGCCUAGAACCGGGUCUCCAAAAGCGUUUUGAGAAACAUGGAGCAUAUGAGAUGUUCGAGGAGCUGAAAUUAGUUUUCCAAGCUCAUGCCCGGGUCGAGAGAUAUGAAGUCUCCGACAAGUUCUUCAGCUGUAAAAUGGAGGAAAAUAGUUCUGUAAGUGAGCACAUACUCAGAAUGUAUGGGUUGCACAACCGCUUGACUCAGCUGGGAGUUAAUCUCCCGGAUGACGCGGUCAUUGACAGAAUCCUUCAGUCGCUUCCACCAAGCUUCAAGAGCUUUGUGAUGAACUACAAUAUGCAGGGGAUGGAAAAGACCAUUCCUGAGGUAUAUUCGAUGCUGAAAUCAGCGGAGGUGGAAAUCAGAAAAGAACAUCAAGUGUUGAUGGUGAAUAAAACCACUAAGUUCAAGAAGGGCAAGGGUAAGAAGAACUUCAAGAAGGACGGCAAGGGAGUUGCCGCGCCCGGUAAACCAGUUACUGGGAAGAAGUCAAAGAAUGGACCCAAGCCUGAAACUGAGUGCUUUUAUUGCAAGGGAAGUGGUCACUGGAAGCGGAACUGCCCCAAAUACUUAGCGGAAAAGAAGGCCGGCAACACCAAAGGUAUAUGUGAUAUACAUGUAAUUGAUGUGUACCUUACCAGUACUUGUAGUAGCUCCUGGGUAUUUGAUACCGGUGCGGUUUCUCAUAUUUGUAACUCAAAACAGGAACUACGGAAUAAACGGAGACUGGCGAAGGACGAGGUGACGAUGCGCGUCGGGAAUGGUUCCAAGGUCGAUGUGAUCGCCGUCGGCACGCUACCUCUGCAUCUACCCACGGGAUUAGUUUUGAACCUCAAUAAUUGUUAUUUAGUGCCAGCUUUGAGCAUGAACAUUGUAUCUGGAUCUCGUUUAAUUCGAGAUGGCUACUCAUUUAAAUCCGAGAAUAAUGGUUGUUCUAUUUAUUUGAGAGAUAUGUUUUAUGGUCAUGCCCCGCUGGUCAAUGGUUUAUUUUUGAUGAAUCUCGAACGUGAUGUUACACAUGUUCAUAGUGUGAAUACCAAAAGAUGUAAAGUUGAUAACAAUAGUCCCACAUACUUGUGGCACUGCCGCCUUGGUCACAUUGGUGUCAAGCGCAUGAAGAAGCUCCAUGCAGAUGGACUUUUGGAGUCUCUUGAUUACGAAUCAUUUGACACGUGCGAACCAUGCCUCAUGGGUAAGAUGACCAAGACUCCGUUCUCCGGAACAAUGGAGCGAGCAACCAACUUAUUGGAAAUCAUACAUACCGAUGUGUGCGGUCCAAUGAGUGUUGAGGCUCGCGGAGGAUAUCGUUAUGUUCUCACUCUCACUGAUGAUUUAAGUAGAUAUGGGUAUGUCUACCUAAUGAAACACAAGUCUGAAACCUUUGAAAAGUUCAAGGAAUUUCAGAGUGAAGUCGAGAAUCAACGUUACAGGAAAAUAAAAUUCUUACGAUCAGAUCGUGGUGGAGAAUAUUUAAGUCACGAAUUUGGUACACACUUAAGGAAAUGUGGAAUAGUUUCAUAACUCACGCCGCCUGGAACACCUCAGAGAAACGGUGUGUCCGAACGUCGUAAUCGCACUCUAUUGGAUAUGGUGCGAUCUAUGAUGUCUCUUACUGAUUUACCGCUCUCAUUUUGGGGCUAUGCUUUAGAGACUGCCGCAUUCACUUUAAAUAGGGCUCCGUCGAAAUCCGUUGAGACGACACCGUAUGAAUUAUGGUUUGGGAAGAAACCUAAGCUGUCGUUUCUAAAAGUUUGGGGAUGCGAUGCUUAUGUCAAGAAACUUCAACCUGAAAAGCUCGAACCCAAGUCGGAGAAAUGCGUCUUCAUAGGAUACCCUAAGGAAACCAUUGGGUAUACCUUCUACCUCAGAUCCGAAGGCAAGAUCUUCGUUGCCAAGAACUGGUCCUUCCUGGAGAAGGAGUUUCUCUCGAAAGAAUUGAGUGGGAGGAAAGUGGAACUUGAUGAGGUGAUAGUCACCCCUUCCGUACCGGAAAGUAGCGCAGCGCGGGAAGAUGUUCCUGUGGUGCCUACACCGACUGGGGAAGAAGUUAAUGAUGAUGAUCAUGAAGCUUCAGAUCAAGUUUCCACUGAACUUCGUAGGUCCACAAGGACACGUUCCGCACCAGAGUGGUACGGCAACCCUGUCCUGGAAAUCAUGUUGUUAGACAACGGUGAACCUUCGAACUAUGAAGAAGCAAUGGCGGGCCCGGAUUCCGACAAAUGGCUAGAAGCCAUGAAAUCCGAGAUAGGAUCCAUGUAUGAAAACGAAGUAUGGACUUUGACUGACUUGCCCAAUGAUCGGCGAGCCAUAGAAAACAAAUGGAUCUUUAAGAAGAAGACGGACGCGGAUGGUAAUGUGACCAUCUACAAAGCUCGACUUGUCGCUAAGGGUUAUCGACAAGUUCAAGGGGUUGACUACGAUGAGACUUUCUCACCCGUAGCGAAGCUGAAGUCUGUCCGAAUCAUGUUAGCAAUUGCCGCAUACUAUGAUUAUGAGAUAUGGCAGAUGGACGUCAAAACGGCAUUCCUUAAUGGCUUCCUUAAGGAAGAGUUGUAUAUGAUGCAGCCGGAAGGUUUUGUCAAUCCUAAGAAUGCUAACAAAGUAUGCAAGCUCCGGCGCUCAAUCUAUGGGCUGGUGCAAGCAUCUCGGAGUUGGAACAUUCGCUUUGACGAGAUGAUCAAAGCGUUUGGGUUUACACAGACUUAUGGAGAAGCCUGUGUUUACAAGAAAGUGAGUGGGAGCUCUGUAGCAUUUCUCAUAUUAUAUGUGGAUGACAUACUAUUGAUGGGAAAUGAUAUAGAAUUCUUGGAAAGUAUAAAGGCCUAUUUGAAUAAGUGUUUUUCAAUGAAGGACCUUGGAGAAGCUGCUUAUAUAUUAGGCAUCAAGAUCUAUAGAGAUAGAUCAAGACGCCUCAUUGGUCUUUCAUAGAGUACAUACCUUGACAAGAUAUUGAAGAAGUUCAAUAUGGAUCAGUCCAAGAAGGGGUUCUUGCCUGUAUUGCAGGGUGUGCAAUUGAGCAUGGCUCAAUGCCCGACCACGGCAGAAGAUAUAGAAAAGAUGAGUGUCAUCCCCUAUGCCUCGGCCAUACGGUCUAUUAUGUAUGCCAUGCUGUGUACCAGACCUGAUGUAAACCUUGCCGUAAGUUUGGUAGGAAGGUACCAAAGUAAUCCCGGCAUGGAACACUGGACAGCGGUCAAGAAUAUCCUAAAGUACCUGAAAAGGACUAAGGAUAUGUUUCUCGUUUAUGGAGGUGACGAAGAGCUCGUCGUAAAGGGUUACGUCGACGCUAGCUUCGACACAGAUCUGGAUGACUCGAAGUCACAAACCGGAUACGUGUAUAUUUUGAAUGGAGGAGCAGUAAGCUGGUGCAGUUGCAAGCAAAGCGUCGUGGCGGGAUCUACAUGUGAAGCGGAGUAUAUGGAGGCCUCGGAGGCAGCGCAGGAAGCAGUCUAGAUGAAGGAGUUCAUUACCGACCUAGGGGUGAUUCCCAAUGCGUCAGGCCCGAUGACUCUCUUCUGUGACAACACUGGAGCUAUUGCCCUUGCGAAGGAGCCCAGGUUUCACAGGAAGACCAGGCAUAUCAAGCAUCUCUUCAACUCCAUUCGUGAAAGUGUUCAAAAUGGAGACAUAGAUAUUUGUAAAGUACAUACGGACCUGAAUGUAGCAGAUCCGUUGACUAAACCUCUCCCUAGAGCAAAACAUGAUCAACACCAGGACGCUAUGGGUGUUCGAUUCAUCACAAUGUAACUAGAUUAUUGACUCUAGUGCAAGUGGGAGACUGUUGGAAAUAUGCCCUAGAGGCAAUAAUAAAUGGUUAUUAUUAUAUUUCUUUGUUCAUGGUAAUUGUCUAUUGUUCAUGCUAUAAUUGUAUUGUCCGGAAAUCGUAAUACAUGUGUGAAUACAUAGACCACAACGUGUCCCUAGUAAGCCUCUAGUUGACUAGCCCGUUGAUCAACAGAUAGUCAUGGUUUCCUGACUAUGGACAUUGGAUGUCAUUGAUAACGGGAUCACAUCAUUAGGAGAAUGAUGUGAUGGACAGGACCCAAUCCUAAGCAUAGCAUAAAAGAUCGUGUAGUUUCGUUUGCUAGAGCUUUUCCAAUGUCAAGUAUCUUUUCCUUAGACCAUGAGAUCGUGCAACUCCCGGAUACCGUAGGAGUGCUUUGGGUGUGCCAAACGUCACAACGUAACUGGGUGACUAUAAAGGUGCACUACGGGUAUCUCCGAAAGUGUCUGUUGGGUUGGCACGGAUCGAGACUGGGAUUUGUCACUCCGUGUGACGGAGAGGUAUCUCUGGGCCCACUCGGUAAUGCAUCAUCAUAAUGAGCUCAAUGUGACUAAGGCGUUAGUCACGGGAUCAUGCAUUGUGGUACGAGUAAAGAGACUUGCCGGUAACGAGAUUGAACAAGGUAUUGGGAUACCGACGAUCGAAUCUCGGGCAAGUAACAUACCGAUUAACAAAGGGAAUUGUAUACGGGAUUGAUUGAAUCCUCGACAUCGUGGUUCAUCCGAUGAGAUCAUCGUGGAACAUGUGGGAACCAACAUGGGUAUCCAGAUCCCGCUGUUGGUUAUUGACCGGAGAGGCGUCUCGGUCAUGUCUGCAUGUCUCCCGAACCCAUAGGGUCUACACACUUAAGGUUCGGUGACGCUAGGGUUGUAGAGAUAUGUGUAUGCGGAAACCCGAAAGUUGUUCGGAGUCCCGAAUGAGAUCCCGGACGUCACGAGGAGUUCCGGAAUGGUCCGGAGGUGAAGAAUUGUAUAUAGGAAGUCAAGUUUCGGCCACCGGGAAAGUUUCGGGGGUUACCGGUAUUGUACUGGGACCACCGGAAGGGUCCCAGGGGUCCACCGGGUGGGGCCACCUAUCCCGGAGGGCCCCGUGGGCUGAAGUGGGAAGGGAACCAGCCCCUAGUGGGCUGGGCGUCCCCCCAUGGGCCUCCCCCCAUGCGCCUAGGGUUGCAAACCCUAGGGUGGGGGGGCUUCCCACUUGCCUUGGGGGGCAAGGCACCCCCUUGGCCGCCGCCCCCCACCCUAGAUGGGGUUUGGCCGGCGCCCCCCCCCCCCNNNNNNNNNNNNNNNNNNNNNNNNNNNNNNNNNNNNNNNNNNNNNNNNNNNNNNNNNNNNNNNNNNNNNNNNNNNNNNNNNNNNNNNNNNNNNNNNNNNNNNNNNNNNNNNNNNNNNNNNNNNNNNNNNNNNNNNNNNNNNNNNNNNNNNNNNNNNNNNNNNNNNNNNNNNNNNNNNNNNNNNNNNNNNNNNNNNNNNNNACCACCACGCCGUCGUGCUGCUGGAUCUCCAUCAACCUCUCCUUCCCCCUUGCUGGAUCAAGAAGGAGGAGACGUCGCUGCACCGUACGUGUGUUGAACGCGGAGGUGCCGUCCGUUCGGCACUCGGUCAUCGGUGAUUUGGAUCACGGCGAGUACGACUCCGUCAUCCACGUUCAUUGGAACGCUUCCGCUCGCGAUCUACAAGGGUAUGUAGAUACACUCCUUUCCCCUCGUUGCUAGUAUACUCCAUAGAUGCAUCUAGGUGAGCGUAGGAAAAUUUUAAAAUUAUGCUACGAUUCCCAACAGCUACGCCCCCCUCUCCUAGUCCAACUAGGAUUCCUCCUGGGAGGGGGCGCGCCACCUCCUGGCUGCUGCCCUCUCUCUCCCCUCUAGGCCCACUAAGGCCCAAUACUUCCCCGGGGGGUUCCGGUAACCCUCCGGCACUCCGGUUAAAUCCGAAACUUCUCCGGAACACUUCCGGUGUCCGAAUAUAGUCGUCCAAUAUAUCAAUCUUUAUGUCUCGACCAUUUCGAGACUCCUUGUCAUGUCCGUGAUCACAUCCGGGACUCCGAACAACCUUCAGUACAUCAAAACAUAUAAACUCAUAAUAUAACUAUCAUCGUAACUUUAAGCGUGCGGACCCUACGGGUUCGAGAACUAUGUAGACAUGACCGAGACACCUCUCCAGUCAAUAACCUCUCUCCGGUCAAUAACCAAUAGCGGAACCUGGAUGCUCAUAUUGGUUCCUACAUAUUCUACGAAGAUCUUUAUCGGUCAGACCGCAUAACAACAUACGUUGUUCCCUUUGUCGUCGGUAUGUUACUUGCCCGAGAUUCGAUCGUCGGUAUCUCGAUACCUAGUUCAAUCUCGUUACCGGAAAGUCUCUUUACUCGUUCCGUAAUACAUCAUCCCGCAACUAACUCAUUAGUCACAAUGCUUGCAAGGCUUAUAGUGAUGUGCAUUACUGAGUGGGCCCAGAGAUACCUCUCCGACAAUCGGAGUGACAAAUCCUAAUCUCGAAAUACGCCAACCCAACAAGUACCUUUGGAGACACCUAUAGAACACCUUUAUAAUCACCCUUUUACGUUGUGACGUUUGGUAGCACACAAAGUGUUCCUCCGGUAAACGGGAGUUGCAUAAUCUCAUAGUCAUAGGAACAUGUAUAAGUCAUGAAGAAAGCAAUAGCAACAUACUAAACGAUCGGGUGCUAAGCUAACGGAAUGGGUCAAGUCAAUCACGUCAUUCUCCUAAUGAGGUGAUCCCGUUAAUCAAAUGACAACUCAUGUCUAUGGCUAGGAAACAUAACCAUCUUUGAUUAACGAGCUAGUCAAGUAGAGGCAUACUAGUGACACUCUGUUUGUCUAUGUAUUCACACAUGUAUUAUGUUUCCGGUUAAUACAAUUCUAGCAUGAAUAAUAAACAUUUAUCAUGAUAUAAGGAAAUAAAUAAUACUUUAUUAUUGCCUCUAGGGCAUAUUUCCUUCAUUUCCUAUUCCAAGAAGGAGAAGGGGGAAGGAGAGGGAGAGGGGAAGGAAAGAGGGGGCCGCGCCCCCUCCCCCUAGUCCAAUUCGGACUGCCAAGGGGAGGGGCACGCGCCACCUUGUGGCCUUCCCUCUCCUACUCCCUUAUGGCCCAUCAAGGCUCAUAACUUCCCCGGGGGGGGUUUCCGGUAACCUCCCAAUACUCCGAAACUUAUCCGAUACUUCCCGAAACCAUUCCGGUGUCCGAAUGUAACCUUCCAAUAUAUGAAUCUUUACCUCUCGACCAUUUCGAGACUCCUCGUCAUGUCCAUGAUCUCAUCCGGGACUUCAAAAAAACUUCGGUCAUCAAAUCACAUAACUCAUAAUACAAAUCGUCAUCGGACGUUAAGCGUGAGGACCCUACGGGUUCGAGAACUAUGUAGACAUGACCGAGACACAUCUCUGGUCAAUAACCAAUAGCAGAACCUGGAUGCUCAUAUUGGCUCCUACAUAUUCUACGAAGAUCUUUAUCGGUCAAACCGCAUAACCACAUACGUUGUUCCCUUUGUCAUCGGUAUGUUACUUGCCCGAGAUUCGAUCGUCGGUAUCCUCAUACCUAGUUCAAUCUCGUUACCGGCAAGUCUCUUUACUCGUUCCGUAAUGCAUCAUCCUGCAACUAACUCAUUAGUCCCAUUGCUUGCAAGGCUUAUAGUGAUGUGCAUUACCGAGAGGGCCCAGAGAUACCUCUUCGAUACACGGAGUGACAAAUCCUAAUCUUGAUCUAUGCCAACCCAACAAACACCUUCAGAUACACCUGUAGAGCAUCUUUAUAAUCACCCAGUUACGUUGUGACGUUUGAUAGCACACAAGGUGUUCCUCCAGUAUUCGGGAGUUCCAUAAUCUCAUAGUCAUAGGAACGUGUAUAAGUCAUGAAGAAAGCAAAUAGCAAUGAAACUAAACGAUCAUUAUGCCAAGCUAACGGAUGGGUCUUGUUCAUCACAUCAUUCUCUAAUGAUGUGAUCCCGUUCAUCAAAUGACAACACGUGUCUAUGGCUAGGAAACUUAACAAUCUUUGAUUAACGAGCUAGUCAGGUAGAGGCAUACUAGGGACACUCUGUUUGUCUAUGUAUUCACACAUGUACUAAGUUUCCGGUUAAUACAAUUCUAGCAUGAAUAAUAAACAUUUAUCAUGAUAUAAGGAAAUAUAAAUAACAACUUUAUUAUUGCCUCUAGGGCAUAUUUCUUUCAGAAGGAACAAACAUACUUUGUUAACAGCAAAAGAAAUAUCAGGUCUGGUGAGAGUAAGGUAUUGGAGUGCUCCUACCAAACUUCUGUAUUUUGUGUUGUCUUCUUGAUUCAGGAGUGUACCUUCUGUAAGACAUAACUUUUCUGAGCUGGAUAAUGGAGUGGGUGUAGGUUUACAACCUUGCAGACCAGCCUUCUUGACUAGGUCAGUGGCAUAUUUUUCUUGAGAGAGAUGAAGUCCUCCUUGUGUUUCUUCACCUCAAUUCCAAGAAAAUAAUGCAAGUCUCCAAGAUCCUUUAGAGCAAAGUCUGCCCCAAGUCUUUCAGCAGUCUUGUGAUUGCUUCAUCAGAUGAACUUGUCACAAUAAUAUCAUCAACAUAUAUGAGGACAAAUAUACAUGUGUUGGACUUGUUGUAAGUAAACAAUGAGGUGUUAGACUUGGAAGGAAUAAAGCCAAGUGUUUGCCUUUUGAGAUAGAGACGAGAAUACCAAGCCCUUGGAGUUUGCUUUAGACCAUAUAGUGCCGUAUCAAGUUUGCACACAUGAAAGGGGGCACUUUUACUUUCAAACCCAGGAGGUUGUUUCAUGUACACUUCCUCUUCCAGAACACCAUGCAGGAACGUGUUCUGUACAUCUAGCUGUCUGAGACUCCAGCCCCUUGAAACAGCAAUAGACAAGACAAGACGAAUAGUUGCAGCUUUUACAACAGGACUAAAUGUGUCCUCAUAGUCUAUACCAUAUCGUUGUUUGAAGCCUUUUGCAACGAGUCUAGCCUUGUACCGAUCAAUAGUUCCAUCAGACUUUCUUUUAAUCCGAAAUACCCACUUGCAAUCGAUCAAGUUUUUACCUUGCUGUGGAGGAACUAAAUGCCAUGUGUUAUUUUUCUUUAGUGCCAUAAACUCUUCAUUCAUUGCUUUCUGCCACCGUUCGUCACCAAGAGCUUCUUCAAGUGUGUUUGGUUCACCAGGUUUUCCUGUAGAACAUAUCAUCCGUAUUUAGUUAUAUGCUUGUAAUUGACAGGUUGUAUUACCCCUUUUUGAAGUCGUGUACGGCGUGGUGAUGAGGUGAUUUGCGGUGUAGCCACAGAAGAUCCUGCGGGCUGAACAGGAGUCGCCGAUCCCGAGAGGGAUUCGCUGGCCGUUGCAGCCGAAUCUGCAGGGCUUGGAUCUUCUGUGGCAGGUGGUGGCGUUGAAUCCUCAGUAGCAUCCGUAGAAGAUCUCAGUAGAGGAGGCAACUCAUCAUUGCCGCGUGAUGGCGUAUCAGCCUCGAAUCAUGCGCGUGUCGGACGGCUGGGUCCGCUGGUUUCGGUGCCAGCGCUGGGCGCCGUGCCUGCUCCUGGCCCCACACCAGUCGGGCGAACCGGGACGCGCCGCGUGUAGCACUGCGGGUGUACGCCAAACCGUGUGCCGCCCAGACCAAGCUCGAGGGGCCGCAUGUCAGGCGGGGACUGGCACGGAGGUGGAGACGUGCCUCGGCCGGUUGCAGGCGACCGCGUGGCACGCCCUGGAGCAAGCAUCGCGGAGCAGAGUCCUGGCGUGCAUGUCGCAUCUGCGCCUGCGGCAGGUGGGUCUGCGCCCGCGGAUCCCGAGGAGGAUCUGAUAUGCUGCUGUCGAACGGAUCCCGAGGAGGAUCUGCCUCCCGUCUCACGACACAUGAAAUGUCGUUCUGAUGAGGCAUUUUUUCCACCGUUUUCUUCACCAUUUUCUUUGUUUUCUCUUGUUUCAUCACAAGACUCAAUUGUGCCAUUAGUAAGAGGAUGUGUCAACAGUUGAUCAUCAUAGUUUAGUCCCCCUUUAUGAAGGACGGAGAGAUGAGGAGGUCGGAGGAGAAUUUCCUCACGAAGAAGGGCAUCGGCAUUUGGAUGGAGAUCAGCAAAGGGAAACUUUGUUUCAUCAAAAACGACAUCCCUGGAGAUAUAGACGCGACCAGUGGAGACAUGUAGGCAUUUGACACCUUUGUGUUGGGCGCUAUAUCCUAGAAAGACACACUGUUUUGAGCGAAACAUAAGCUUGCGGUUAUUGUAUGGGCGAAGAUUGGGCCAACAUGCACAACCGAAGACACGAAGAGUCGGGUUUAGUGUGGAGAAGUCAUUCUAGUGGAGUUUCAUUAUUGAUAACACGACUAGGAAGCAUGUUGAUGAUAUGAACGGCGGUGAGAAAAGCCUCAUCCCAAAACUUGAGGGGCAUGGAUGCGCCAGCUAGGAGGGCUAACCCAACCUCAACUAUAUGUUUGUGCUUGCGUUCAGCAGAGCCAUUCUGUUGAUGAGCAUGCGGGCAUGACACAUGAUGUGAUAUGCCAAGGGUUUGGAAGAAAGGAGUUCAAUUUUUCGUACUCCCCCCCCCCUCCAAUCAGAUUGUACUGCAAUGAUCUUACUAUCGAAUUUUCGUUCAACUAGAGCUUGGAAGUUUUGGAAAACUUGAAAGACAUCGGAUCUUCUCUUAAGAAGAUAGAUCCAAGAAAAUUUGCUGUAGUCAUCUAUGAAGCUCACAUAAUAAGUGUGUCUACCAACAUAACUAGGGGCAGGACCCCAAACAUUAGAGAAGAUUAAUUGCAAAGGUUUUGUAGAAACAUUAGUAGAUAUGGGAUAAGGCAACUGAUGACUUUUAGCUCGUUGACAAGAAUCACAAAUAGUUUCAAGAUCACGCUCACCAACAUAGGGGAGCUUAUUUUUCCUAAGUAAUUUUUCAACUAAAGAGAAAUCAGCAUGUCCUAAUCGAUCGUGCCACCGUGUUGACGAAAGUUUGGCAACACCAUAGGCUUGUUUAUUGAAUCUUCUACAAUCCUGAAGCAACGGGUAGAGCCCUCAGACGCAUCUACCUCGAUAGAGGAUUUUCUUUGUUGCAUGAUCCUUGAUCAAGAAAAAAUAAGGAUGAAAUUCAAGGAAGACAUGGUUGCCAAUAGCAAUUUUAUGAACAGAAAGAAGAUUCUUAUCGGCACUAGGGACAUGCAAAAUUUUCUUUAGAUGAAUUUUAUGAUGAGGGGUACUAGAAAACAAGUGACCAACGUGACAUAUCCUCAUACCUUCACCCUUGGCAGUGUAGAUUUGAUCUUUGCCACGGUAUUUCUCCUUCAUAGUGACCUUCUCGAGCUCGUUGGUGAUGUGAUUGGUAGCACCACUGUCGACAUACCAGUUCGUGUCAACACCGUAGGAGCCAUCCGCAGCUGCAACAACUUUGUCCUAGUCUUGGGAGGAGUCGUCAUCUUCAUCAUAGCGGUACCAGCAGUCUUUGGCCGUGUGCCCAAGCUUGCCACAAAUCUGACAGCGGGGUGCGUCCGGACGAGACCUGGUGGAGCCGCCGCCACGACGAGGCUUGGGGUUGGUGGGGCGGCCGUUGCGAGAGUUGGAGGAGCCACCAUCGUUGUUGUUCCCUCCUGACCGCCCCUUGUUGCAGGGAGAUCCACGCGAGCGAGGGCUGCCACCGCGACCGCGAGAGGCAGCAUUGGCAGAGGACUUGAAGUGGCCGGAGGAGCCAUGGAAUUGGGCCAUGCGCUGAUCGAAGUUACUCAGCAUGGCAUAGAGCUCGUCGAGGGUGACGGGCGUGACGCGGGCGUCGAGGGCGGAGACGAGCGGCUGGUAGUCGAUGUCCUGCCCAUGGAGGAUGUACGAGAUCAACUCGGCGUCCUGGAUGGGCUUGCCGGCAGCGGCGAGUUCAUCAGUGAGGCCGCGCAGGGAGGCGAAGUAGGAGGCGACCGACUGGUUGCCCUUCUACGCAUUGAUGAGCGCAGUUCUGAUGUUUUUGACGCGGCUGAGUGAUUGUGACGAGAACAUGCCCGCCAGUGCCACCCAGAGUUCACACGCCGUGGUGAUCGCGGUGACCGCGACCAGCACCUCCUUGGAGAGAGUACUCAGCAAAUAGCCGAGCACUUGUUGGUCCUCCCGGACCCAAAGUGGGUGGAGAGAGUUGGGCGCAGAAGUCUCCUUGCCGUCCUUAUCCUUGGUGACGUGGAGUCUGGCCGGCUCCGGCGCGGUGCUGUCGACGUAGCCGAAGACACCGGUGCCCCGCAAGUGGGGUGUGACCUGUGUGCGCCAUAGCACAUAGUUCGUGCGGUUGAGCUUCUCGGUGACCUGGCCAUUGAGGCUAGGUUGGGAGACGCCGGAGGAUGAAGACAUGGCUAUGCACUAGAUGCAAUCGAGAGAGCUAGAUUGGAAAAGGAAGGCUUUGAUUACCAUGUGCGAUGGCGGAAACGUCUUACCUCGUUCAGAGGCGACGGGUUCGUGUUAUAUAGUAGGGGCGCACCUCCCUGAUACAACACAUACACAUAAGUUGUUGGAGAGAUUACAGGAGAUUGAGACUUGGAGAACAAGCGAUAGAGUUGGUUACAAGGAGAUAGAGAUAAAGGAAAAUACUACUACCAACCUGCCAACCUAUACCGAUCCUAGACUACAACAGAAAGAUAUGGCAUGAUGCGCAAGGUGGUGCGGUACACAUGUAUAUGUGUGACAUGUUUGACAGCAUAAACUUCUCAGAUGUUCGCAAAGCUACCGUAGGCAGCGCAUUCUGAAACACGAUGAUUACACAGAAGGAGCUCAAUCAUCAUUAUCUGAUUUACACUCUAUGCAGAUAGUCAGACAGUUUGCCAUGAUCACAUAUACCGUCCAGUUUUCCUUUCGUUUCGACAGUAUGUUUCCCGUCCAGUUGGUUCUGUUAGUGAUGUCUUUUGACCUUUUGCAUUCAUUCUCUUGGCAUUCUCCUGUAGCCUUUUGGCAUCCUCACGUAUGUGUAUAUAUGUUGGCUUUGGCCUCCUAAAUAAUACAAGUUGCUAUUUUCAACAUCGUAUUAGAGCUCUAGGUACUUUUUUCCGUACGCAAAACUCGUGCUCUCCCGAUCCAAUCUCCUACACGCCCGCCGUUGCUUUGUUUUCUGCCGGCCCGUGAUUCUGCUGUUGCCUGCGUUCAUCUCCAGCUACAGGAGCUUCACAUCCAGCUGCUGUGUGGAAUCCAGUGUUUCAGCGCUGUGUGUUGGAUCCCAUCGGACUUGGUCCCGAUCGAUCUAGCCGCUCGUUCCUCCUCCAAGGUCGUCUCCUGUUGCUCGCCCCAUCCGCGCCGCUGCUCUUCCGGCCGCCCGUCGCCCCUCCGUCCGCGGCCGCCCGACGCCCUCCAGCUUCGGCCGCCCGGCGCCCCUUCGUCCGCGGUCGCCGGCGCCCCUCCGGCUUCGGCCGCCCGGCGCCCCUUCGUCCGCGGCCGCCCGGCGUCCCUCUGACUCCGGCUGCUACCCACCACCGGCCCCUUCCGCUCGUCGCUACCAGCGGCCCGUCCUGCCUCGCUCGUGGUUCCCUGCCGAGCUGGUGGUCCUGGCGCGGGUCAUCGUCUCCACCCACCAGUCGCGAAGUCCGGCUGCUCGAGGUUCGACCUCUGCCGUGGGCCUUUUGUCUCCCUGGUCGGGUCACUGCCACUGUUUUCUGCUUGAUUGACUUUCGUCUGCGUGGAUUGAUUAUAUACUAAAAAAAAGACAGAAGAGGAGCAUCAUGUCUUCGACAUCAUUGGGCUAUGUCGCCGUUCCACGCUGUCCGGUGAUUUUUGAUGGUGCAAACUAUGCUGAGUUUGCUGCCUUUAUGCGCAUUCACAUGUGUGGCCUUCGUUUAUGGGGAGUUCUUUCCGGCGAGGUUCCUUGUCCUUAGCGUCCAGUUCCUCCUGUGGCUCCUAUCCCACCGCCACCUCCACCGGAUCUUGGCGCAGAUGCUUCUGAUGAUGAUAGGGCUGCAGCCCGGGUCGCUGCUGAUGGUGCGGUCGCUGCUUAUGACCAGCAAGUCGUGGUUUAUUCGGAUGCUCUUUCCAUUUAUCAUGAUGAUCUGACUGCUUAUACUCAAUGGUGUGAUGAUGAUACUCGUGAUGCGGCUGUCCUCACUUCCAGUGUUUUACCACAGUUUGCAUAUGAGUUUAUGGGCCUCAGUACUGUGUUUGAGAUAUGGACUCGUCCUCGUCAGCGCUAUCAGCCCUCUGGUGAUGCUCUCUACUUGUCUGUGGUACGUCAGGAGCAUGCUCUUCAGCAGGGAGACUCCACUAUUGAUGAGUUCUACACUCAAAGUUCUGCUAUCUGGCGCCAGCUUGACAACCUUCGCACUGCUGUUUGUGGCACUUGCGCGUGUUGCCAGACUGUGAGGUCCGACUUGGAGUUUCAGCGUGUCUAUGUGUUUCUGUCGCGGCUCCGUGGAGAGUUUGAGCCUCGACGUGCUCAGUUGUUUGCUCAUGGUCGUGUUCCUAUUUCUGAGGUACUUGCUGAGCUUAGUGCUGAGAAGACUCGCCUCCGUGGUGCUGGGUUGCUUCAGGUUCCCUCUGUGCUUGCUGCUCGAACUGCUUCUCCACCAGUGAUUUCUUGCUCCAAUGCCCCAUCGCUACUGCCCACUCCUAGUAGUGAGGGUCGCUCUCAUGAGGGUCUCUCUCGUCCUCGUACUCAUUGCGGCUACUGCAACAGGGAUGGUCACCCCGAGUCUGAUUGCCUCAAGAAGAAGCGUGAUAUGCGUAACAGGGAGCGCAAUUCUUCUUCUGGGACUCGUGCUGCUUCAUCGACGUCAUCUACUGUCUCCUUGACUGAGCAGGAUAUUGUGAAGCUUAAGCGUCUACUUGUCGCUUCAGGUUCUUCGACGGGUACUGCAGGCUCUGUGACUGGUGCUUUCAGUGCUGAGCGGCCACCAUCUACACAGUCAGGUACAUCCCAAUGGUUUCUGGAUUCUGGAGCUUCAUUUCAUAUGUCUUCCGAUUCUUCUAUCUUGUCCUCUCUUAGAUCUCUCGAUCUUCCUAUUAAUGUUCUUACAGCAAAUGGUACUUCUCUUCCUGUGGCUAGUCGAGGCACUCUUUCCACUUCUUCCUUUUAUGUUCCGGAUGUUUCUCAUGUUCCUCGCCUUACCAUGAAUCUAUUUUCUGCGAGUCAGCUUACUGAUUCUGGUUGUUGUGUCAUUCUUGACAUUGAUUCUUGCACAAUCCAGGAUCGUCACACAAAGGCUCUGAUUGGAGCUGGCCCUCGCCGUCGUGAUUCUCAGGGACUUUAGGAGUUAGACUGGCUUCAUGUUCCUUCCGCUGCCACCACACCCGCCAGUCCAUCUGCUUUCGCUGUUUCAGCUAUCAGCUCCUUCCAGCAGUGGCAUCAUCGACUUGGUCACCUUUGUGGUUCGCGACUAGCAUCUUUAGUUCGUUGUGGUCUUCUGGGGCCUGUCUCAGGAGAUGUCUCCUUACACUGCCAGGGUUGUAGGUUGGGUAAGCAGAUUCAGUUACCUUAUCCUACUAGUGAGUCGGUGUCUCAGCGCCCUUUUGAUUUAGUACAUUCAGAUGUAUGGGGCCCGGCUCCCUUCGCUUCCAAAGGGGGUCAUCGAUACUAUAUUAUUUUUAUAGAUGAUUUCUCUCGCUACACUUGGCUUUACUUAAUGUCUUCUCGUAGUGAGGUUCUCACCAUUUAUAAGCGUUUUGCUGCCAUGGUUCACACUCAGUUCUCUACACCUAUCCGUGUGUUCCAUGUUGAUUCUGCUCGCGAGUAUGUCUCUAAAAUGUUGCAUGAUUUUCUUGUGGAGCAGGGUACUAUUGCUUAGUUCUCUUGUCCUGGUGCUCACGCUCAGAAUGGCGUGGCUGAGCGCAAACAUCGUCACCUUCUUGAGACAGCUCGUGCGAUGAUGAUUGCCGCCUCUCUUCCGCCUCAUUUUUGGGCUGAGGCUGUCUCUAUGCCACAUAUCUCAUAAACAUUCAACCUUCAUCUACUCUGCAGGGUGGUAUUCCUUAUGAGCAUCUUUUUUAUCAUUCUCCCGAUUAUUCGACGCUUUGGUUGUUUGGUUGUGUUUGCUAUGUUCUCCUGGCCCCACGAGAACGCACCAAACUGACUGCUCAGUCAGUCGAGUGUGUUUUUCUAGGCUACAGUGAUGAGCAUAAGGGUUAUUGUUGUUGGGAUCCAGUUGGUCGUCGGAUGCGUAUUUCUCGGGACGUGACUUUUUAUGAGUCUCGUCCAUUCUACCCGCCACCAUCCUCCUCGACUUUUUCAGUAGAGGAUAUCUCUUUUAUCGCGUUUCCUGAAAAACCUCCCUCUGUGCCUAGUAUUCCUAUUCAUCGUCCUGUUGUUGCAGAUCCUACGCCAUCCUCUCCUACGGUUUCCUCUCCUCCCUCAUCGCAUGACUCUCCACCUUCAUCACCGAUAUCUUCUCCUUCUUCACCUUCAUCACCGAUACCUUCCCCUUCUCCAUCUUCAUCAUUGAUACAUUCCUCGUCUCAACCUCCAGUGAUUCCACCUCUUCCCUCCUUUCUUUUCCAUUAUACUAGUCGUCCACGUGUUGUGGAUAAAUCUAUUGACGUGCCAUCUACUUCUGGUGUGUCGUCCUCCUCAUCCCGGCCGACUUAUGGUCUUCGGGCUCAGCCUCGCCCUCCCCCUGACCGCUAUUCUCCUACUCGAUAUGGUCUUUCAGCUGUACUUGAGCCUACCUCUUAUCGCGAUGCUAUUGUUCAUCCUGAAUGGCAGUUUGCGAUGGCAGAGGAGCUUGCUGCUCUUGAGCGCACCGGCACGUGGGAUCUUGUUUCUCUUCCUUCCGGUGUUCGUCCCAUCACUUGUAAGUGGGUGUACAAAGUUAAGACUCGCUCUGAUGGUUCUCUUGAGCGUUACAAAGCUCGUCUUGUGGCUCGUGGCUUUCAGCAGGAGCAUGGUCGUGAUUACGAUGAGACUUUUGCUCCUGUAGCCCAUAUGACCACUAUCCGCACACUUCUCGCUGUGGCUUCUAUUCGCCAUUGGUCUGUCUCUUAGCUUGAUGUUAAGAAUGCCUUUCUUAAUGGUGAGUUGCGUGAGGAGGUUUAUAUGCAGCCACCACCCGGGUAUUCUGUUCCUGAUGGCAUGGUAUGCCGUCUUCGACGCUCUCUCUAUGGCCUUAAGCAAGCCCCUCGUGCCUGGUUCGUUUUGCCUCUGUGGUGACCGCCGCUGGUUUUUCAACGAGUGCUCAUGAUCCAGCGUUGUUUGUUCACCUUUCAGCUCGUGGUCGAACUCUUCUUCUAUAUGUUGAUGACAUGAUCAUCACUGGCGAUGACCCUGAGUACAUUGCCUUUGUCAAGGCCCGUCUCAGUGAGCAGUUUCUUAUGUCUGAUCUUGGUCCUCUUCGUUACUUUCAUGGGAUUGAGGUUUCCUCCAGCUCUGAUGGCUUUUUUAUUUCCCAAGAAAAGUAUAUCCAGGAUCUUCUUACUCAUGCGGCUCUAAUGAGCGCAUUGUUGAGACUCCUAUGGAGCUCAAUGUUCACCUUCGUGCUUCUGAUGGUGAGCCCUUGUCUAAUCUGACAAGUUAUCGUCAUCUUGUUGGGAGUCUUGUCUAUCUCGCCGUCACUCGUCCAGAUAUCUCUUAUCAUGUCCAUAUCUUGAGUCAGUUUGUUUCUUCUCCCACUUCGGUACACUAUAGUCACCUUCUUCGUGUUCUACGAUAUCUUCGUGGCACGAUCUCUCACCGUCUCUUCUUUCCCCGCUCCAGCUCGUUACAGCUCCAAGCCUAUUCGGAUGCUACGUGGGCUAGUGAUCCUACGGAUCUCCGUUCACUAUCUGCUUACUGUGUUUUCUUGCUGGUUCUCUCAUUGCCUGGAAGACAAAGAAACAGACUGAAGUUACCCGUUCGAGUGCAGAGGCUGAGUUGCGAGCUAUGUCUCUUCUGACGGCAGAGAUGACUUGGUUAAGAUGGUUACUAGAGGAUGUUGGUGUUUCUGUUACUACACCUACCACUAUCUUGUCAGAUAGUACUGGUGCUAUCAGUAUUGCACGGGAUCCCGUGAAGCAUGAGCUUACCAAGCAUAUUGGCGUUGAUGCUUCUUAUGUGCGCGCUGCUGUGCAGGAUCAUGUUGUUGCUCUUCAAUAUGUGCCUUCUGAGUUACAGCUAGCAGACUUCUUCACGAAGGCCCAGACUAGAGCGCAACAUGGAUUUCACUUUUCCAAACUUAGUGUUGUGGAUCCACCAUGAGUUUGAGGGGGGGUGUUAGUGAUGUCUUUUGACCUUUUGCAUUCAGUCUCUUGGCAUUCUCCUGUAGCCUUUUGGCAUCCUCAUGUAUGUGUAUAUAUGUUGGCUUUGGCCUCCUAAAUAAUACAAGUUGCUAUUCUCAACAGGUUCGAGUCCACUUCAAGCAUCACUUCUCUCUCCUCCACUUGUUCCACUGAACAAUCCAUGCCAAGGAGACUUGCCCUGAAGAACCUGGACAAGGUCCCAAACUUUGAUGAUAGCAUUCAUCACGAAUAGGCCCAAGCAGAGCCUGUAGAACUGAAGUGCUGCACGUGCAGCCCUCUCACAAAAGGGGCACCAUCUUUACCCAGAAUUGCACAUGGGUUGCAACACCAUUACCAAAUAACACGAACAAACUUUAGAAGCCACUCAAAAGGCUUCAACUCGCAAGGCCCAAAACUAGGCAGACGAAAUUACAAAUCCCAUUUCAGACACCAACUUCAACCAAUUCACCUAUAUAUAUAUAUGAAGGCGUUGAUGCUGGUUCCUGUGUCUCGCGCAUAACCCCCGCGUCGCUCCCGCACCGGGCGACUCGGGUGGGCCGCUACCCUAGCGACCGCCUAUGAGAAAAAAGAGUAAAGCCUCCGUCUGCUCAUCUAUUUAUAUUAGAGAUAUACAUCAGAUAUACAUGGGUUAGGUUCUCGUUACAACUAACUUAAUAUAUCUAAAACAACCGGGUAGGGAUAAGUAUAUCCCGUUGCCGGGUAUGCUACAGUGCUAACUACUACCUAUUCACAUGCGUUCACACUGCCGAGCCCCGAUCUACUCCCUCCUCUCCUCCCGUCACCGCAGCGUGAAGCUGUCGUGCUAAGCCCGGGGGUAGAUGGCGGUGGCGGGGGUCUCUCCUUCUCUCUCGCGGCUUGGGGUGAGGCGGGGCCCCCACCAUGUGGAGGCGCGGCUAGCCGGGUCCUGCGGCGCGGCGGCUGGGGGCUCUCGGCCGGUCGGAUCUCGGAUCGAUGGCGGUGGCAUGGAGGGCCUGGUGGAUGGAUCAUCUGUAUUGUGGUCUGGCUUCUAGUCAGUUCUGAUCUGACAUGUGCGGCCUGCUCCAUGUGCGGCGGCGGUGGUCGGUGGCGGUCCCAGCACAUGAGACUGGAUGGAGGUUCCUCGAGCGGAUCCGGGUGAAAACCCUGCUCUUGGCUCGUUGCCAAGGCCGGCGAUGGCGGUGUUUUCUGCGUCAUCUCCUUCUUGAAGGCGUCGUCAUGGAGAAACUCUAGACCCCUAUCUAACACCUCCGGAGGAAACCCUAGAUUGGUUGAUCAGAUGACGCCGACGCUCUAGUGCCGUAUCCCUCUUGGGGGCAUCAUUCUUGGAGGUAUGCAUAGGCUCGAGGGACUAGUGGACAACAUCUGCGGUAGAGUGGCGUUCCAUGCGACGCAUCAACAAUGUGGAGUCUCGGCGGCGUGAUGCGGCAGGGCCUCAGUGACGGAUGUGUGAUGAUGGAUGCACGUAGGCAGGAGGUGUUGUCUGGCGCCGUGGUGACGUUCACAACAGGCCUGACAAGGUCGAUCAAUUAGUAUUUGCUCUGAAGAUGGAUCGAUGGAAGAUGACGGCCAUGACCUAAGUGCGUCAAACCGGUUUGUUCCCCAGACCUGGUAUGUAGCUUGGUUGGGGUCUCCGGCUUUAGAUGUUAUGCUUAGGUGAGAGGUUUGGCUAUUCGGCUCACACUUUCUAUUAAUCAAUGAAUAGGAGUACCGACAGAUGUUGCCAAGAUGGCGGCUUCAGAUAUAUUGAUGUAUUACUUUGUAAGGUUUUUAUGAAUAACUAAUAGUCUUACUUCAACGACACUAUAGCAUACAAGUUUUUCUCUAUUUAUAUUUAUGCAUGAUAUCGAACUGAUUGCUCUGACAUCCAUCCAUCCGAUUGAUUGUUAGACUGGAGCAUUGUUUCGUGCAUUUUUCUCAAUGUUCUACCACGGUUGCCUUUACUCCCUUGCUUCACUACACUUCAAUAUUACUCAAAUCUGGGUUCCUAUGCUUCAAUGACACUACUCCUCUUUAUUUAUUUUGGGAACACGCAAGAGAGUUGCGCAUAGUUUCAUCAAGAGAGAAGGACAGUUGGUUACAGCGAGUCUGCCCGAGGGCAAACCUCACACCAGAAGUACAUCAUCUACCCCAUCCCUCCUGAUACAAACUACUCGCGAGUUCCCACCCUUCCACUUCUACAACUCUACUUGCCCUUCUUAUUUGUGCAAGCCCUCCAUCCUCUUGGUCCCUCUAAUCUCAGACCACAAGCCUAGCUUGAUUGACAAUGUGUUGCCCUGUCCAUUAGUUCGGCUUGGGAGUCAUGGGGACAAUCAUAUGUAUGGAAGUGCAUAAGUAAUCCAGCCUUCAGAAUCACGCAUGUACGAAGCUGCUCACUGGCAUUUCUCUCCGCUGAAUGUACCUACCAUCAAAGAUAUGAUUAUCUGCAUCAGCAGUUUACAUCUCUUCUAGUCUGGGAAUUGAGAGGCUUCUAGUCAAACUACUCGUUUAUUUCAUCCGUGGCAAUUCUUCGUGUGAACGUUGCCCGGCAUUGCAACAAGGAAAAUCUGAUGCAUAAGCUUCUCUAGAAGUCAGCAAAGCUGCCCUAGGCAACGCAUUCUGAAACACGGUGAUCACACAGAAGGAGCUCAAUCCUCAUUAUCUUAUUUGCACUCUAUACAGAUAAUCAGACAGUUUGCCAUGACCCACACACUAUAUCCCGUCUAGUUUUCUUUUCUACUUCGACAGUUUGUUUUGCGUCCAGUUAGUUCCGGUCCAAAUCCAGCUCAAGCAAUAUUUUUCUUUUUACACGCAAUCUCAAACUUGGAUGUUAGUAUUCAUCACGAAAGGUGUAUGUAGUGCUUAGAGUACCAGGCAGGACCUGUAUAACAGGCAGGUACCAUAAAGCACGUGCAUCCCUCUCGCAAAAUGAGUUGGCAAAAAGAAAUGGGAAACAAAGAGGGAACUGGCAACGUUUUGUCACCAUGGAGCAGUUUAAGAAUGUCUAAUUCAAUUUUCCAUGAACUGACAGGCACAGGAAUCAGGCACCAUCUUUACCGAGAAUUCCACAUGAGCCGCAAACCACUACGAAAUCCCAUCAACAAACCUUAGAAGCCAUUCAAUAAGGAGUUAACUCCCAAGGCGCAAAACAAGUCAGACGAAAUUACAAAUCCCAUUCCAGAACAGCAACUUCGACCAAUUCACCUCCUGUAAAGGCGUUUCUUAUUUCUGGAUAGGGUUUUACACUAUUAUUAUUCAUGAAAAAUAUAUCCAAACACAAGGCCUCGUGUUCAACAUGACGCCUAGAUAAGAGGGUCACUACAAAAUAUAACCACACACGCUUGAGACGGAUUAAGGUGCUGUUUAAUCUAGCUUGGCCUCUACCCUCUUCGGAGGAUCCAGCUGCAGGUAAGUAAAUGGUACAGUUGGCUCCUCCCUGCAAAUCACAGUUUAUACAUUAACAACUUCCUAACAGAAGAGAAAAAAAAGGCAAUAAUCCCAGUCAGAGCACUCAUUGCAAUUCUGAAAUGUAUGUGCACUAGAAACUAUAGUGGAUACUCGCUAGCUCUCUGAGGGCAAAUUCAUCAUUAGAAUUCUAAAGUCCACACUUUCACACAUAUAUGGAGUCCUUCCAUAAUAUGCAUUUCACCACAACAGUUUCUUGAAGCACUUAGCCCUUUUUUAGGAGAAAGCCAUGUCACCAGGUACAUUCUUUUGUUCAAUUUUGGUGGACAAAAUGAUUGCUUCUACUCCUGCUAUGUUGGAACUGGUUGCUCCCAGCCAAGCCACAGCGGUGCCCCCAUGGUUUCUGGCCCAGCCAGCCAGACUGAGAUAUUGUCCAGAAAGCUUGCACCACCCAUGUUACCCAACCAGCCUACCGAACUACCUUUCUAACAGAUGUGAAACAUCAUAGCAUCAUACAUGGCACAGAGGUAGGCAGGUAGCCACCCCAUAAAUUUCAGGGAUUUGCAUCUACAUGGAGAACCGUGCCUGAGCAACUCCCUGUUCCGUGUCAUGUUCGAUAUUUAAUUCUUAUAGGAAGUCAUUUGCUAGUUUGUACUGUGUGUGUGUGGGGGGGUGUAACCGGGCUGACCAACUCCCGUUUAUUUAGUAUAAAGAGAAAAAGAAGACUUCACAAGUAGGCUCAUAUUAGGCUUUCGCAUAUAUAAGAACAUAAAACCAUACUGAAGAGAUUACUUUUUAGUGAACAUCCAUAUGUAGCAACUAGACAAUAAGCAUUUAAGUUGCUGAAAAAGCAAGCAACCACUGAACAAAAAGAAACAGUUUAACAUGAGCAUACUUAGCAACCACUAACUCAACAUUUUCCUCAGAUACUGCUUAUUCAUCUUAUGAAAUUGUUGUGGACAACCUAAGAUCAUAUUUAGAUUGUUCACAGUGAUUAUAAUUAUUCCACCAAAAGCAUUAAACACAGGGAUCGUGAGAAGCAGCGGAUACCCAGGUUUUGAGCGCAUGCAUUGCCAAAAGACCUUGAAUGGACCUGGAACUGUCUUGAACGGAUUCCCUUCAAAGGCAGCCUGCAAACAAAUAAUUAAGCAGACCAAAACAUGUUGAUUUUCAGACUUGGAAUUAACAUGAUGAAACACAGAGCCAAUGUCUGACAUUCGUUGGAAAAACGCACAACCAGUUGACGGUAGCGCCCGGUAAUUACAGGAAAUUCCACACNNNNNNNNNNNNNNNNNNNNNNNNNNNNNNNNNNNNNNNNNNNNNNNNNNNNNNNNNNNNNNNNNNNNNNNNNNNNNNNNNNNNNNNNNNNNNNNNNNNNNNNNNNNNNNNNNNNNNNNNNNNNNNNNNNNNNNNNNNNNNNNNNNNNNNNNNNNNNNNNNNNNNNNNNNNNNNNNNNNNNNNNNNNNNNNNNNNNNNNNNNNNNNNNNNNNNNNNNNNNNNNNNNNNNNNNNNNNNNNNNNNNNNNNNNNNNNNNNNNNNNNNNNNNNNNNNNNNNNNNNNNNNNNNNNNNNNNNNNNNNNNNNNNNNNNNNNNNNNNNNNNNNNNNNNNNNNNNNNNNNNNNNNNNNNNNNNNNNNNNNNNNNNNNNNNNNNNNNNNNNNNNNNNNNNNNNNNNNNNNNNNNNNNNNNNNNNNNNNNNNNNNNNNNNNNNNNNNNNNNNNNNNNNNNNNNNNNNNNNNNNNNNNNNNNNNNNNNNNNNNNNNNNNAUGAUAUUUCCUAAGUGCCCAGAUCAGCUACUACCAGAUUCAGAUUAGUCCAUUGGUCAUUUCUAAUUGUGUUUGGGGAAAUGAACUGCGACCGCCAUCACUAGCUUGGAAGCAGUAACCACAGCAGACGUAGGAUAGGAAUCAUUCUGGUUACAUGUUAUCGAGUCGAUGUGCGUACUUCGUAGCAGGCAACAUUGUGUGCUUAUCAUACCCAAAACACAUCUAAAGAGUCCUGAGAGCAAAUUAAGUACUGAAACAAUUUGCUGUCAGACCCUCACAAUAGUACAGUUGAUGAACUAAACCAGCCUAAAAAAUCAAGUGCCUGUCAGAGAGGGAGGGUAAGUGUCUUCUGAAUAUCAUUUUAGCUGUUGCAUCAUCGAUCUUCUGAAUAUCAUCUACAAAGUACAUGUCAGAGAGGGAGGGCAAGUGUCUAGUGAGGGAGGGACCUGGACGACAUCCUCGACGCGGUCGUUGCAGCGGUGCGCCUUGGGCUGCCGCUUGUCCCCCUCCGGCAAGCCCCACGGGCUCUCCCUCCUCGGCACCGGCCUCUGCUCGCUCUCGCUCAUCCUCCUCCUAUCACCACCACCACUAUUCCUGUCACUCCAAGAAAAGGACCGAAAUGGCGGCUCAAAUCCAAUUCACACAUGAAUCCUACUAGGCACCAUCGACGGAGAGACCAGAGGAGACCAACUCACCUCGCAACCACCCCUCCUCAGCUCCCCUCCCUACGCGCGCCGGCGACGAGAGAUCCCGAGAUCGACUGGACGGCGGCUGCUUCUCUUCCCCUCGCUGGCCGGAGUCCACCAAGAUGCGACGCGGAGACGGAAAUGCCCACCCUCCAGCCCAUUUAGACCUUCGGUGUCACAUAGGCCUGGGGGAACCAUUUCACCGGCCCAAUAACUGGCCCGGGUGGCCGAUAUACACCGGGACCCACCUGCAGCGACACGCGAGUGAGGGCGAAACCCUAGCUGGCCGCGCCCUCGUAUAUAAGCGCGCACCCCUUCGCUCUCCGACCCUUUGAGCUUUCGGCGGCGGCGGCGCACUCCUCGUGUUCUCACCCAGGCGCGCACUCCUCCUCCUCGCCGUCGUCGUCGCGGAUCCACCGCCGCUUCCGCAGCCAUGGUGAGUUUCCUCUCCCCGACUGAUCUAGGUACCUGCGGUCGGUCGUAGCGAUUGUCCUGGUUUCCGAACUAGCCCAGAUUCGGUAGAUUUACAACAGCUUCGGCGCUCGGUAGAAUGUUUUGCGAGCGCGGAGGGAAUCCGUGGAGCGGGGUUUCGUAAUGCGGUGCUGUUAAUCGGAUGAAAUUGCCAUAGGAGCCGUGUAUUUCUCUUAAGUCGCACCGUGUUGAUGCUGCUGGAUCUCCAGCAUGUCGGGAAGAAGGGGAGGGUGAUUGGGGUGUGGGGAUUGGAGACACUUACAUUACAUUCAGUAUCACAUUGCGCAGCUCAGGUCCUUGGAUGUGUUGAGUUAACUUGUUUGAAGGACGGAUGGGUUGGUUUGAAUUUUCAUCUUGUGACCCCAUUGGGAUUUUAAGCUAGAGAAUACAUUAGUCUCCAGUCUUGUUAGUCGAGUUGUCAUCACUGGUGAUUGAUCCCAGAUAUGCAUGUUUAUUCUAGUUGUAUGCUUGCAAGGUCAGAUCAUAGCCUAACAGUUUGUUUGCACAGUAUGCUGUCAGUCAGCUGCAGUUAAUCAGCCUGUGUGCUAUGCGUUCCUGAAACCUAUGGCUAUAAGGAAUGAGUGACAUGAUGUACCCCUCCUACAGCCUAUCUCUCUAUGGAUUAGGGCUGGCAUACAAACAUUGCUAGCUAACUCAACCUGUCCUGUUUAAGAGUAUGUAAUGUACUCCCUUUUGUUUGGCCAGCUGGGUGCUUUUCUAGUUCAGCAUAACAUCUUUGGCAUGAGUUCUCUUCUCAUUAUUUGUGUAAUUGAAAAUUGGAAAUUCUGCUCUCUGUCAUUUUGGACCCUCGUGAUUCAGUAGCAAUUUUCCACGCCCCUUGGAAUCAAACACGCAUGGGUUAUGAGUUCAGCUAUGAAGUUCUUUUUGUUUGUCAUUUGUUGUUUAUUCCUGGUUGUUUAUUCCUGUUGUCUAAGUAUUGUAUGGCAUUUUUGUAGGUGAACGUUCCGAAGACCAAGAAGACCUACUGCAAGAACAAGGAGUGCAAGAAGCACACGCUCCACAAGGUUACCCAGUACAAGAAAGGCAAGGAUAGCCUUUCUGCUCAGGGGAAGCGUCGUUAUGACCGCAAGCAGUCUGGAUAUGGUGGCCAGACAAAGCCUGUUUUCCACAAGAAGGUAUGUUACUCGUUUCUGUGGGCAUAUAUCUUCUUUGAUGUAAAACUCAAGUUACUUUGGAAAUGUUGGCCGUUUAUUUACUUGUUUCUGUUGCUUUGCAUCUGGAUGUUUAUUCUUCUUUUUGUUUCAGGCCAAGACAACAAAGAAGAUUGUGCUGAAGUUGCAGUGCCAGAGCUGCAAGCAUUACUCACAACGCGCUAUCAAGGUACCUGCAUCCCUCUUAUCUGCUUUGCCAUUUCCUUGCUAUAUUCUGUUAUGUGUAUGUAUCUGACACCAUGAUUUCUUUGUUACUACAGAGGUGCAAGCACUUUGAAAUCGGUGGAGACAAGAAGGGCAAGGGAACAUCUCUCUUCUAAGCUGAUGGUAUCCUGUUAUGUUUAGGAUGUUGUGCCAGAACUUCCCACAAGAAGAAUGUAUUAUCUUUAAUUUUCUGGUUAUAACCCUAUGGGCUAUGGAGCAUAUGUUUUGCUAUUGUGUCAACUACUUUCUCCAGAUCUAAUCGACAAGUAAAAUGUUGUUUAUGCUCGGAGUGCGGUAUCUUUGUUCUUGGUCUGAUUAGAAUUGCUGUCGCAGUGUAUGCUCAUGAUGGGAUGAAUGCCCUUUGUUUUUAGUUCUCCUGUCUAUUUUUCUCGCUUUGGCAAAUUGUUUUGUUAUGCUGUUUCCCACUAUGCUGCUGUUGGCAUGGUCUGUGAUCUUGCUCGGCCAAACUGACCCUACGCUAUUGAAAACUACAACAUGCAUUUGUUGUCUUCAUGUAUGACGCUUAUGUUUCUUGAUCACUGGCUGACAAUUAACAUGGAUCGGAGGGAGUACAAAUUUUCUUCUAACUUGCACUAUUUUAUAAGCAGGGGAUUUAUAGAGGAGAGGGAGUCUCACGAGGACAAGUCAAAUAAAGUCACUGUGAACUAAACAGCUAUAAAAGCAGCAAAACCUUGCAUUGCAAUGGUGCAUGUUGUGAGUUAAAAAUUGCUCGGUAUUUGUUAAGCCAUGUCUGAAAUAAGUAUGGCUUGUUUUGAGUUGUAGGUUUGGGAUGUAUCAGGGACAUUGAAAUUUUGGCGACGUGCACAUAUGCAAAGUUGGCAUAAUAAGUGAUCACUGUUUGAGUUUACCGAGAGAAGCGAGAGACAAAGCAUCUGAUUCAAGUGUGUAAAUCUUUAUUGAUGAUCUCAUUUAUAUACAGGUACAAGGGACGCCUCCGGAGAGGCGCCUAUUCGCAGCGACCACCGAAGGAUCCGCUAGCGGUUACCAAGUCUGGAACCGACGCCUGGCGGUUUCCUUAAGCAUGGAUUAAUAAUAGGAUUAAAUAAAUCCUAACACUCCCCCUAAUCAAUGCUUGUUUGUGCAGUAUUAUCAUCUUCAAAAGCUCCUCCAAAAACCCUGUGAGAAAAAUGUGAGGAGAUAUAUAUUUGAUACGUUGCUAAAACUCAUUCAAACCCAGUGGGAAAAUAAGGAGAAAAUUAUGCAACAUAUAAUGGUCAUUGUCUCUUUUAACUCAAUACGAGAAAACUCAUAGAGUUAGAGGACAAUAAAUAUGUCACAUAUACUUUCUUAAAAACCCCUAUGGGGAAAACAGAAAGUAUGACAUAUGAUCUCAUGUUGAUAUUACCUCAUUAAAAACCUUUAUGAGAACCUGUAAAGUAAACUCAUGAAGGGAAAAGAGUAAUAUGAUGCAUUGAACAGGAACAAUUCAGGAAGAUACUCCCCCUGAUUCUUGCAAAAUUUGAAGCCGUCACAUACCAAAACAUAGAAGUUGGUACAUAUCCGCUGAACAAAUCAGUCGCAUGAUUUGACUUGCAAUAUAUGCAAUAUAGUGAUAUUGGUUAUUAUGUAACCUAUUUGCAUCCGGGCAACACAAGAAACAUUAUCGUUGAGAUAAUGGUUGGUGAAUGUAGCUAUGAGGUCUGUUUCGAAGACUCUUCAUGAGAGGGCUACCACAUCUAGUAGGAACACUAAACUUGUCUACGAUCUGACAUAGUGGGGAUCUGAUCGAUGUAUCCAAUAAUAUUGGUGUUCAGAUUUCUCCAAAACUGAAAACCAGGACAAGAUGUUUCAUGCCUUGGAGAUAUCGAAAGAUAUUCUUAAGUACCAACCAAUUGUGUUUGGUCGAUCCAAUGGCAUAUGGAACGUUGAGUCCCAAUAUCUCAUUUCCAUCAUCUCUUGGUCUAAAUAGAUCUUUCUCUACGUCUAGAGAAUGAACUACCAUGAGAGUUAUGGAUGGAUAAUAUUUGUCCACAAUGAAUUUCUCCAAUAUAUUUUGAAUAUAGACAACAUAGUAUACCAUAAUGUAUGAAUGAAGGUGCUCAAGUUGUAGUAACGAGAGGUGUUUUGGUUUACCCAAAUCCUUCAUUUAAACUCCGUCAUUAGAUGAUUACAUGUGUCGUCAUUGCAGACAUACAAACAUGGAUAAUCAUCUUUGCAGGAGUAAUCCUUCUGAAUAAGGAACUCACUACGUCGGUUGUACCAAAUAUACCGACGAUAAUAAUAAGUCAUAUGGUGACUUAUUGAUUUUACACAAUGGAUGUUGCAUUUUGUACUUCGGUUCAGAAUUGAGGUUCCGCCGGGAACCAUCUAUAUCUGAAUCUAGUGAUCUACAUGGGUAUGUAAUCACUACAUCUAUCAGCUGCAGAGAUAGAUGAUUUUGAACUGCCAAUGAUAUAAGUUAUCGGAUUGAGAUUCCACCUCUAGAGAAUAGUUGGGUAUCUGCGUGAACCCUUGUGCUACAAUACUUGCUCUUUGUUUCACCACCUUGUUGUUCUCAAUUCUGCUUCGAGAAGAAAACUGGUGUAGGUAUUGCUUAUGAAUACCUUCCCAUUAUUGAGCAAGAUCAUUUCUACCUAGAUUAUACCCUUUGCUUGAGUUCAGUCCGAGUGUUGUUCACACUUUGCCAUGGCCAUGGUCUUUGGAUCUGAAUCACUUGAAAGGUUUUUGCAAUCUAGUUAAGAAAUGUAUGUCGACAAUUGUAGACUUCCGGUUAUAUGAUUCUCCAGAAUCUAUAUAUCAAUAUAUAGUUGAUGGAAAUAUCGUUAGCCAUAGUGACUGUUCGCGAUUUCCCAAUGCGAUUGAGUUGGGUAUUCCGAUGUCCCGGUCAUUGUGUGCACUAUGACCUGGGUUGGUGGAGGUUUCCCGUCCAUUGGGUGUAUACUACCCAUUAGGUGUCUGCCAACGUGAAGUUGACUUGCAUUUACUGAUUCACAGGCUUUGAUAUCCUUACUUGCGAGAAGCUGAAUCCUGAUGUACUUCUGCCAUACAUCUGUGACGCCCCCGAUUUGACCGUACACUAAUCAUGCACGCAAAUGUGUACGAUCAAGAUCAGGGACUCACGGGAAGAUAUCACAACACAACUCUAAAACAUAAAUAAGCCAUACAAGCAUCAUAAUACAAGCCAGGGGCCUCGAGGGCUCGAAUACAAGUGCUCGAUCAUAGACGAGUCAGCGGAAGCAACAAUAUCUGAGUACAGACAUAAGUUAAACAAGUUUGCCUUAAGAAGGCUAGCACAAAAGUAGCAACGAUCGAAAAGGCAAAGCCUCCUGCCUGGGUCCUCCUAACUACUCCUCGAAGCUGAACUCCAUGUAGAAUCAUCCUCGGGAUCUCUAGCUCCUGGACUCCAGCAUCUGGUUGCGACAAUCAGGUAUAGAAAGGGGAAAAGAGGGAGAAAAGCAACCGUGAGUACUCAUCCAAAGUACUCGCAAGCAAGGAGCUACACUACAUAUGCAUGUGUAUAUGUGUAAAGGGGCAUAUCAGUGGACUGAACUGCAGAAUGCCAGAAUAAGAGGGAGAUAGCUAAUCCUGUCGAAGACUACGCUUCUGGACAUCUCCAUUUUGCAGCAUGUAGAAGAGAGUAGAUUGAAGUCCUCCAAGUAGCAUCGCAUAACAUAAUCCUACCCGGCGAUCCCCUCCUCGUCGCCCUGUUAGAGAGCGAUCACCGGGUUGUAUCUGGCACUUGGAAGGGUGUAUUUUAUUCAGUAUCCGGUUCUAGUUGUCAUAAGGUCAAGGUACAACUCCGGGUCGUCCUUUUACCCAGGGACACGGCUAUUCGAAUAGAUAAACUUCCUUGCAGGGGUGCACCACAUAACCCAACACGCUCGAUCCCAUUUGGCCGGACACACUUUUCUGGGUCAUGCCCGGCCUCGUAAGAUCAACGCGUCGCAGCCCCACCUAAGCACAACAGAGAGGUCAGCACGCCGGUCUAAUCCUAUGCGCGCAGGGGUCUGGGCCCAUCGCCCUAUGCACACCUGCACGUUGCGUACGCGGACAGAAGCAGACCUAGCCUAGUGGCGUUCCAGUCCAAUCCGGCGCGCGCCACUCAGUCGCUGACGUCAAGAAGGCUUCGGCUGAUACCACGACGCCGGGAUACCCAUAACUACUCCCGCGUAGAUGGUUAGUGCGUAUAGACCAAAUGGCCAGACUCAGAUCAAAUACCAAGAUCUCGUUAAGCGUGUUAAGCAUCCGCGAACGCCGACCAGGGCCAGGCCCACCUCUCACCUAGGCGGUCUCAACCUGCCCUGUCGUUUCGCCAUAAAGUAACAGUCGGGGGCCAUCAGGAACCCAGGCCCACCUCUACCAGGGUGGAGCCACCUGUCCUUUCAGCCCCCUCAUCAGAAUCACUUGCGGGUACUCCUCGAGCCGACCCGAAUUUAGUCUCCACAUGUGUCAUGUAUAUAAUGUAUAUAGUAUAUACCCGUGAUCACCUCCCAAAGUGAUCACGGCCCAGUAGUAUAGCAUGGCAGACGGACAGGAGUGUAGGGCCACUGAUGGAACACUAACAUCCUAUACUAAGCAGUAGGAUAGCAGGUAAGGGUAACAACUGUAGCAACAAUGACAGGCUAUGCAUCAGGAUAGGAUUAACGGAAAGCAGUAACAUGCUACACUAUUCUAAUGCAAGCGGUAGAGAGUAGAGUAGGCGAUAUCUGGUGAUCAAGGGGGGGCUUGCCUGGUUGCUCAGACAAGAGAGAGGGGUCGUCGGUGACGUGGUCGACCACAGGGGCAUCAGCAUCGUCACGGGGUCUACCGAAGAGAAGAGGGGGGAGAAACAGUAAAUACAUAGCAAGCAAAUGCAUAACAGGACAACAGGCAGAGCUAGACGUGUUCUAACGCGGUAUGAGGUGAUACCGGUGAAGGGGGGGAAACAUCCGGGAAGGUAUUCCCGGGGUUUCGCGUUUUCGGACAGAUGAACCGGAGGUGAAAUGUUACAGGUUCACUAUGCUAGGGACGCGUGGCGGACGAACGGGCUGCGUAUCUGGAUUCGUCUCGUCGUUCUGAGCAACUUUCAUGUAGAAAGUAUUUUCAUUUGAGCUACGGUUUAAAAGAUAUGAUUUUCUAAAGAUUUACUAAUUUCUGGAAUUUAAUUAAUCAUUAAAUUUAAUUCAAAAUUGUAUUUACGACAUCAGCAUGAUGUCAUGCUCACAUCAGCAGUCAGCAGGGGUUGACUAAGUCAAACUGACAUGUGGGUCCAGUGGGACCCACCUGUCAUUCACUGUUUAGGCUAAUUAGGGUUUAGCUAAAUAAUUACUGUUUAAUUAAAUUAAUUGUCUAAUUAGAUUAAUUUAAAUAAGAUUAAUUAACCUAAUUAAUUUAGUUAAUUAAUUAAUUAAUUAAUUUUAUUUUUAUUUUAUUUAUUUAUAAAUUUUUAUUAAUUAAUUUAUUAUUAUUAUUUUAUUUUUAUUGUUUUUUAAUUCUUUUUUUAUAUAAAAAUAAACGUUCUGGGGCUGGUGGGCCCCGUUCGUCAGCGACCCGGGGGCUUAACGGGCACAGGGCGCGGGUGUAAAGGGCGCCGGGUGCCCAGCCCAUUUGGGCGUCUGCCCAGGCCACCAGGGGGGCGCCGGCGACAGCAGGGCACGGCGAGGCCGGCCGCCGGAGGCGGCAGUGGCNNNNNNNNNNNNNNNNNNNNNNNNNNNNNNNNNNNNNNNNNNNNNNNNNNNNNNNNNNNNNNNNNNNNNNNNNNNNNNNNNNNNNNNNNNNNNNNNNNNNNNNNNNNNNNNNNNNNNNNNNNNNNNNNNNNNNNNNNNNNNNNNNNNNNNNNNNNNNNNNNNNNNNNNNNNNNNNNNNNNNNNNNNNNNNNNNNNNNNNNNNNNNNNNNNNNNNNNNNNNNNNNNNNNNNNNNNNNNNNNNNNNNNNNNNNNNNNNNNNNNNNNNNNNNNNNNNNNNNNNNNNNNNNNNNNNNNNNNNNNNNNNNNNNNNNNNNNNNNNNNNNNNNNNNNNNNNNNNNNNNNNNNNNNNNNNNNNNNNNNNNNNNNNNNNNNNNNNNNNNNNNNNNNNNNNNNNNNNNNNNNNNNNNNNNNNNNNNNNNNNNNNNNNNNNNNNNNNNNNNNNNNNNNNNNNNNNNNNNNNNNNNNNNNNNNNNNNNNNNNNNNNNNNNNNNNNNNNNNNNNNNNNNNNNNNNNNNNNNNNNCGCGGCAGCAGCGGUGGAGGGCGGCAAAGGGGAGCAGCGGCGUGGCCUCAACUGGGUGAGCGCGUGCGGGCUCGAGGGGCAGGGCCGUCGCAGGUGCGACGAGCUACGGCCGGACCGAGCGCGACCACGGCAGGGCAAUGGACGCAGCCGGUGGGGCGCGAGCACGGGGCGGCCUGAGUGCGGGCUAGCGGGGCGCCGUCAUCGCCGGCGAGGACGCCACGGGCGCGGGGUCAGAGAGGGGAGAGAGAGAGGAGGAGGGGGUUUCCUCACCCCACGUUGCAGGGGAACAAGCGGCGAGGCUCGAGGUGGUUGCUCGAGGGGGAGACGAGGGUGCAUCCCGGCGAGGCAGAUCGAGGACGGGGGCGAGCGCGACGCGGGCGAGGUGGCGCGGGUCGGGCGGCGCCGGCGAGGCGACGGGUGGACGACGACCCGAGGCAGGGGCACGGCGUCGAGGUGGCGGGGGCGUCCAGCGAUGGCGUCGAGAAGCACCGGGCGGCGAGGCGCGGUCGUCGGGGCGAAGCGGGGUCGAUCCCCAUCUAGCUCGGGUCAAGGUGGGGCGGGCGCCAUGCGGGGAAGUCGGGGAGGCAGGCGCCGGUGAGGGGGUGGCCGGAGGCGCCGGGCGGCGGNNNNNNNNNNNNNNNNNNNNNNNNNNNNNNNNNNNNNNGGAGAGUGGGGAUCAGGAGAGGUUAGGGUUCGGGGAGUGGGGUGGGGUUAGUAGGGGAGGUGGACCGGGGUGGGCCGGCCCGUUCGGGCGGCUGAGGCCAGCUGGGCCACUUGGCCCAGCAGGGGGGCAGUUGUUUUUCUUUUCCCUUUUUUUUUAGUUUUUGUUCUUUUUCCUUUUCUGUUUUAUUUUAGUUACACUUUAUUCUUAGUUUAGUAAAAUAUGACAAUAGCUCCAAAUUAGUGUUCCAAAACAACCCACUACCCUAAAAGUUUUUACCUCAAGAUAAAAUAGUCUAUGAUUUUAUAAAAUAUCAAAGGCAUUUAUUUAAUAGUUUUACCUACCGUUUUAAUCAUUUAAGUGCAUUUAAACUUUUUAUAAAAAUGUUGUUUCUUCACCAUAACUACCUACGCAAUAUCUGUCACGGUCCGAACAUUUUAGUUUUAACAUCUGAAAACUUUUGUUGUUUGCUUUUAUUUAAAUUUUGAAUUUGUUUCGGUUCCGAACCAUCGAGAGUUUAUCAACAGUAACGGGGUGACGUGGCAUCGUUAACGAGGGAUUACUGUAGCUUAAUUAUCCGGGCGUCACAAUUCUCCUCCAUUACAAGAAAUCUCGUCCCGAGAUUUAAGAGGGGAGUAAGGGGGGAAGGUUUGGUAACGAAUCUAGCGGGUCUUCUCAUCCUGGCUUGCUCUUCUCGAAGAGGCUGGUCCAAUACAUUGAUGUCUUAAUUCUGUUGUUUCAGGUCAUCAUGAUAAAGUUGUCGUCCUCUCUUCGGGAACUCCAUCGUACUUACGGCAGAGUAAGGGGGUAUUCUGGAAGAACGGACUUUUGCAGGGUUUACUAUCUGGUCAAUAUCAUCGGGGAAGGUGGCGGAAAGUAUCUCUCGAACUAAACCUUAAGAAAAGCCGAGAGCAAGUAAGAAAGUACCAUGAGAAGUUUCAAACGGGUAGGCAAUCGUUCGAAGCCUGAAACAAAGUGUGAAAGGGGUUCAAAGCAAUCGGAAUAAGUAUUAUGUCUGAUGCCAGUAUAGAUCAGUAGGACGGUGGUCCGUGAACUACAUACGAGGCCACGCGCGAUGAAUAAAUUUGGGAACAGGGGGUGUACAGGAGAGUCAGGUUUCGAUCCUGUGGAACUGUGGGUUAUGGGCCCACCAUGUGGGUUAAAAGUAGGAAGGGCGGUGACAUCUUGCACGAUCAUGAUAGCAAGGCAUGUCAGAGGGUAGCCUAUCAGUUAUAUGUCAGCAACAUCAUCGGUACCAAGGCGAGGGACGAAGAGAACCAUUUCCCUGCUCGUUGAAACGAGGCGGACCAUUAGGCAAAGUUCUCGUCCAUCGGUGGUUACCGAAAUGUCACCAACAAUAAUAACAGGGUCUUACUGACAGAGUUGUACACCGAGGUGUUUACAUAAGUAGGAGAAUAUUACUGCUUAGAUCAUAUAGAUCACCAGAAAGGUUAAACCAAACAAUGGAAAGGAAAAUAUGAUUAUCAGAUUAAACAGAAGAAUGGAAAGGAAAAUGUGUUUAAACACAUAUUUCAAGGUUAUAUCCUUCCCAAGGACAAGCUGAGCAUGAUAAUCAUGACAGGAUAUAAUGUAGAAAACUCUUUAGGUAGGGGAGAGAAAUUUUCAUGACAUUAACCAUACAACGGUGUUUGGAUAAUUGAGCAGGAAACAAUUAUCUUUGGGCUUCAAAUGUUCCUGUUUAAAAUCAGAGUACCAUAGACAUGCUUCGAGAUAGCAUUGACAUGGUCAACAGGUGAAGAUCAGACUUUGGAAACAAAAAGGAUCCAUCAGGAACAACUUAUAGAAUAAGUCUUACAAUUUCCUCAUGGAAGAAAGGAUAAACUUGCUAAUAAGGAAACUAUAACCGUAGGUCCUCCGGCCAGGUGUGUUAGGCAUGACAUCACCUUACCGGGUCAUAUAGAGACCAAUGUUAUAACUCUUGGAAUUAGGUUUCAACCAUCAUAUCUGAACGAGAUUCAGAUCUGAUUGGGGUCUAGAUACUUCAGACUCGGAAUGCCUAAGAAGAAAAAGGUGCAACACAAAUUGUCGAAACGACAUCGAAGAUUCUCGGGAGAUGAACUAUGGAAGCGAGUUCCGAACAAGGGUUCAUAAUUAAAUCUAGGAUAGGUGAGGAGGUGACUGCUUGACUCAGCGACAACCCAUUGAGAUUUCCAAAAGAUGGAUUUCCAUCGCUAGGUGAACAAGGAGAUAACAUUAACUAGAUCGAAUGACUUAAUGAUGUAUGCUCGAGGAAAACAUACACAGUUAAACAUUGGUUGAAAUGUGCACCUGAAAUAUGGGCUAGGUAGCACAAUCAAUGUUCGAAUGAUGAUUCAUUAAGCCAUAGACGUAGAAUGAAGCUAUAGACCAAUAACUUCAAAGCAAUAGGGUUGCUAGAAGUUUAGAAUUUACACACCACAGACCAUUGGUCAGUAUUCCUUUUAGAAACAACACGGGGACCAAGAAAGAAUGGUGAUGGGGAGAAGUAUCACUGUACCGAGAUGUCAUACGAGGUGGUGAAAUUCUUACGACAUACUUGACGUAAAAUUUGGUAAUACUCCAGGGUAGAACAUAUCAUAAGCUAGAUAGCAGGGAAAGCAAGGUACAACACAAAACACGCACAAGUUUGUGUUGAAUGGAAGGCAAUAAAAUGGUCGAUGAUAAAACAAAUCAUCGAGGGCAAGGAUGGUAUUUCUCAUCCAGAAUUCGAUAGAUAUCUUGGAAGAGCUCAGAAUGUUGAUGGUGAUCACGACAUUUUGUUGUCGAGGGGAUCCACGAAGAAGCAAUUGAUCAGCGACUGCAUCAAGCAAAAGGACUGAUGCAACAAAAGAUUAUUGGAGCCACGGAUACUACACAAACUCGGGGCAAGUUUGUUGUUCGAGGUGAAACGAUAUGACGAGGAAAAUCGACGUAAGCUUAGCUCAUCGUCGAAAGUGGUGCUCCGGGAAUAAGGACCAGGUAGCACAGUUAAAAUCAUCAAGAUAAUGAUAUAGCCAAACAGGCUAGGAAUGACGUGAUCGGGUACAAACUCGUAGGUAAGGAACAUUACUAAAAGUUGUUGAACCGUAGUGCGGAUUCGAUUCAAUUAUCGAUGUCCUUGAGUGUUUAAUAACUCGGAGCCCGUGAAAAAUUGGAAUCAAUGAGAAUGUAAUACUUGAUGGAGAAUUCAUAAUAAGUUAUGCAGUUCCGUGAUAAUCUCGAGAUACCAGGGGGGUAAUACUCGACGACAAACCAAAGUAGAGGUUGGACUGGGGUAUUGCUCUGCAGAAGACAAGUGCUUAAAGUUGCACGAGAAAUGGUAUUUAAAAGAGAACAUGGUUGGAACCACGAUUGCAAAAUGUCAGAUCCCAUAUAUAAGACGAACUUAUACCAAGGGAAUAAUUAAUUUAAGAAAAGCUUUAAUGAUAAGAUCUACACCGUGUCCAUGGGCACGAACGCAAAGUUCAAGGUCGACUCCCACUUCUCCAAUGCAUAACCUUUCAUUCACUUCUCAUUUUUCAAAGAAGUUGUAGUGUUGAAAUUUUAUCUAGCAAAAUACCAGAAGAGUAUGACUCAUGAAAAUUUUCGAGUUCACACAUACUAUGAAAGGCAUAGGUUCAACCCAUCAAGGCAUCUUAGGAACAUAUACCACAAACUUCGGAGUAAAUAUUACAAGCUCGAAAGAAGAGCAUUGUUCAAAAACAGAUGAUACAAUUUACCAAAUGCAUUAUAUACCCAUGGAAAGGCUCACAAGGUUAUUCAAUAUGAAGGACACUGUCGGAUAAAAUCCAACAAAGGAACCGAUGGUCCACAAGGGAUCUGAUGUGAGCAUCGGUACUCAACCAGAGGAAGAAGAAUGCAAGGAGAUCUGAUUAUAGAAACAACUGACUAACUCAAAGUUCAAAUGCAAAGGAAUUAUGAUUUCCAAAUCAAGGGAUCAGAAGCAAACGCUCUGAUUAAGGAUGGAUAAGUUGAAUAGCCUUAGGGAUACAAUCGAUGGCAAUUCGAUUGGUCGAUACCAGCUCAUGUUAAAAAUGAUGUCUGAGCCGGAAGGAUGAAUUCUAAGAUCUGAUUGAGGAUUGCGAGCAUUCGCAACAUAUUGAAUCAAUGGACUCAAAAAGAUAAUGACAAAGGGUGCCAAUAAGAUUUCGAGACUUAUGGGAUUAAUCAUAAUGCUAGUAAGCAAGAAUUUCAAGAGCAAUAGGCUCCUGAAGAUUUUCGGAAGAUCGAAUGGUAUUCUGAACACUUUUUUUGAUAUACUUGAAUUCAACUGGGGAUGAGCGAUACUCGGUAAGUGCGUGAAUUAUCCGUAGGGGUAUUCAGGUGUCAAAGAACAGCAUAGCAGUAAGCUCAAAGGAUUCUUGGAACAACAGAGAGCAUUACGGGGUAUCUUGUAGUAACAAGAUCAACUGGGAAACAUUGUAUGAAUUGCGAGUAUACGUGGUUAUCCAUAGGAGUUCAUCGAUGAAAGGGAAUUCUAAAAGCGAUGAACACAAGUUCUCGGGUUAUCAGCGGAGAGUAUCUUCAGGGUCUUCACAUGCAGCAGACGAUCAUCAGUAAUAAGGGCUCUCCGGGUGAAAGUGAUAACGAGAUCCUAAUGUUAGAUUUAGUAAAAUUCACUUAACCUGAAUAGAAGAGAUGUCAGAGUCCCAGAGUAUAGGUUGAGGAGUAAAAGAUCCUAGUACCACCCAAUGGCGACGUGGGCCCGUAAGACACACAGCCAUGUUAGUAAAAGUUUUGUAAUGUCUAGACUCGACUUCGGCCAAGGAGUGUGGAAAGGGGGAUUCCUACAGGCAGUUGGCUCUGAUACCAACUUGUGACGCCCCCGAUUUGACCGUACACUAAUCAUGCACGCAAAUGUGUACGAUCAAGAUCAGGGACUCAUGGGAAGAUAUCACAACACAACUCUAAAACAUAAAUACGCCAUACAAGCAUCAUAAUACAAGCCAGGGGCCUCGAAGGCUCGAAUACAAGUGCUCGAUCAUAGACGAGUCAGCGGAAGCAACAAUAUCUGAGUACAGACAUAAGUUAAACAAGUUUGCCUUAAGAAGGCUAGCACAAAAGUAGCAACGAUCGAAAAGGCAAAGCCUCCUGCCUGGGUCCUCCUAACUACUCCUCGAAGCCGAACUCCAUGUAGAAUCAUCCUCGGGAUCUCUAGCUCCUGGACUCCAGCAUCUGGUUGCGACAAUCAGGUAUAGAAAGGGGAAAAGAGGGAGAAAAGCAACCGUGAGUACUCAUCCAAAGUACUCGCAAGCAAGGAGCUACACUACAUAUGCAUGUGUAUAUGUGUAAAGGGGCAUAUCAGUGGACUGAACUGCAGAAUGCCAGAAUAAGAGGGGGAUAGCUAAUCCUGUCGAAGACUACGCUUCUGGACAUCUCCAUCUUGCAGCAUGUAGAAGAGAGUAGAUUGAAGUCCUCCAAGUAGCAUCGCAUAACAUAAUCCUACCCGGCGAUCCCCUCCUCGUCGCCCUGUUAGAGAGCGAUCACCGGGUUGUAUCUGGCACUUGGAAGGGUGUAUUUUAUUCAGUAUCCGGUUCUAGUUGUCAUAAGGUCAAGGUACAACUCCGGGUCGUCCUUUUACCCAGGGACACGGCUAUUCGAAUAGAUAAACUUCCUUGCAGGGGUGCACCACAUAACCCAACACGCUCGAUCCCAUUUGGCCGGACACACUUUUCUGGGUCAUGCCCGGCCUCGUAAGAUCAACGCGUCGCAGCCCCACAUAAGCACAACAGAGAGGUCAGCACGCCGGUCUAAUCCUAUGCGCGCAGGGGUCUGGGCCCAUCGCCCUAUGCACACCUGCACGUUGCGUACACGGCCGGAAGCAGACCUAGCCUAGUGGCGUUCCAGUCCAAUCCGGCGCGCGCCACUCAGUCGCUGACGUCAAGAAGGCUUCGGCUGAUACCACGACGCCGGGAUACCCAUAACUACUCCCGCGUAGAUGGUUAGUGCGUAUAGACCAAAUGGCCAGACUCAGAUCAAAUACCAAGAUCUCGUUAAGCGUGUUAAGCAUCCGCGAACGCCGACCAGGGCCAGGCCCACCUCUCACCUAGGCGGUCUCAACCUGCCCUGUCGCUUCGCCAUAAAGUAACAGUCGGGGGCCAUCAGGAACCCAGGCCCACCUCUACCGGGGUGGAGCCACCUGUCCUUUCAGCCCCCUCAUCAGAAUCACUUGCGGGUACUCCUCGAGCCGACCCGAAUUUAGUCUCCACAUGUGUCAUGUAUAUAAUGUAUAUAGUAUAUACCCGUGAUCACCUCCCAAAGUGAUCACGGCCCAGUAGUAUAGCAUGGCAGACGGACAGGAGUGUAGGGCCACUGAUGGAACACUAACAUCCUAUACUAAGCAGUAGGAUAGCAGGUAAGGGUAACAACUGUAGCAACAAUGACAGGCUAUGCAUCAGGAUAGGAUUAACGGAAAGCAGUAACAUGCUACACUAUUCUAAUGCAAGCGGUAGAGAGUAGAGUAGGCGAUAUCUGGUGAUCAAGGGGGGGCUUGCCUGGUUGCUCAGACAAGAGAGAGGGGUCGUCGGUGACGUGGUCGACCACAGGGGCAUCAGCAUCGUCACGGGGUCUACCGAAGAGAAGAGGGGGGAGAAACAGUAAAUACAUAGCAAGCAAAUGCAUAACAGGACAACAGGCAGAGCUAGACGUGUUCUAACGCGGUAUGAGGUGAUACCGGUGAAGGGGGGGAAACAUCCGGGAAGGUAUUCCCGGGGUUUCGCGUUUUCGGACAGAUGAACCGGAGGUGAAAUGUUACAGGUUCACUAUGCUAGGGACGCGUGGCGGACGAACGGGCUGCGUAUCUGGAUUCGUCUCGUCGUUCUGAGCAACUUUCAUGUAGAAAGUAUUUUCAUCUGAGCUACUUUUAAAAGAUAUGAUUUUCUAAAGAUUUACUAAUUUCUGGAAUUUAAUUAAUCAUUUAAUUUAAUUCAAAAUUGUAUUUACGACAUCAGCAUGAUGUCAUGCUGACAUCAGCAGUCAGCAGGGGUUGACUAAGUCAAACUAACAUGUGGGUCCAGUGGGACCCACCUGUCAUUCACUGUUUAGGCUAAUUAGGGUUUAGCUAAAUAAUUACUGUUUAAUUAAAUUAAUUGUCUAAUUAGAUUAAUUUAAAUAAGAUUAAUUAACUUAAUUAAUUUAGUUAAUUAAUUAAUUUUAUUUUUAUUUUUAUUUUAUUUAUUUAUAAAUUUUUAUUAAUUAAUUUAUUAUUAUUAUUAUUUUAUUUUUAUUGUUUUUUAAUUCUUUUUUUAUAUAAAAAUAAACGUUCUGGGGCUGGUGGGCCCCGUUCGUCAGCGACCCGGGGGCUUAACGGGCACAGGGCGCGGGUGUAAAGGGCGCCGGGUGCCCAGCCCAUUUGGGCGUCUGCCCAGGCCACCAGGGGGGCGCCGGCNNNNNNNNNNNNNNNNNNNNNNNNNNNNNNNNNNNNNNNNNNNNNNNNNNNNNNNNNNNNNNNNNNNNNNNNNNNNNNNNNNNNNNNNNNNNNNNNNNNNNNNNNNNNNNNNNNNNNNNNNNNNNNNNNNNNNNNNNNNNNNNNNNNNNNNNNNNNNNNNNNNNNNNNNNNNNNNNNNNNNNNNNNNNNNNNNNNNNNNNNNNNNNNNNNNNNNNNNNNNNNNNNNNNNNNNNNNNNNNNNNNNNNNNNNNNNNNNNNNNNNNNNNNNNNNNNNNNNNNNNNNNNNNNNNNNNNNNNNNNNNNNNNNNNNNNNNNNNNNNNNNNNNNNNNNNNNNNNNNNNNNNNNNNNNNNNNNNNNNNNNNNNNNNNNNNNNNNNNNNNNNNNNNNNNNNNNNNNNNNNNNNNNNNNNNNNNNNNNNNNNNNNNNNNNNNNNNNNNNNNNNNNNNNNNNNNNNNNNNNNNNNNNNNNNNNNNNNNNNNNNNNNNNNNNNNNNNNNNNNNNNNNNNNNNNNNNNNNNNNNNNNNNNNNNNNNNNNNNNNNNNNNNNNNNNNNNNNNNNNNNNNNNNNNNNNNNNNNNNNNNNNNNNNNNNNNNNNNNNNNNNNNNNNNNNNNNNNNNNNNNNNNNNNNNNNNNNNNNNNNNNNNNNNNNNNNNNNNNNNNNNNNNNNNNNNNNNNNNNNNNNNNNNNNNNNNNNNNNNNNNNNNNNNNNNNNNNNNNNNNNNNNNNNNNNNNNNNNNNNNNNNNNNNNNNNNNNNNNNNNNNNNNNNNNNNNNNNNNNNNNNNNNNNNNNNNNNNNNNNNNNNNNNNNNNNNNNNNNNNNNNNNNNNNNNNNNNNNNNNNNNNNNNNNNNNNNNNNNNNNNNNNNNNNNNNNNNNNNNNNNNNNNNNNNNNNNNNNNNNNNNNNNNNNNNNNNNNNNNNNNNNNNNNNNNNNNNNNNNNNNNNNNNNNNNNNNNNNNNNNNNNNNNNNNNNNNNNNNNNNNNNNNNNNNNNNNNNNNNNNNNNNNNNNNNNNNNNNNNNNNNNNNNNNNNNNNNNNNNNNNNNNNNNNNNNNNNNNNNNNNNNNNNNNNNNNNNNNNNNNNNNNNNNNNNNNNNNNNNNNNNNNNNNNNNNNNNNNNNNNNNNNGAUCAGGAGAGGUUAGGGUUCGGGGAGUGGGGUGGGGUUAGUAGGGGAGGUGGACCGGGGUGGGCCGGCCCGUUCGGGCGGCUGAGGCCAGCUGGGCCACUUGGCCCAGCAGGGGGGCAGUUGUUUUUCUUUUCCCUUUUUUUUCGUUUUUGUUCUUUUUCCUUUUCUGUUUUAUUUUAGUUACACUUUAUUCUUAGUUUAGUAAAAUAUGACAAUAGCUCCAAAUUAGUGUUCCAAAACAACCCACUACCCUAAAAGUUUUUACCUCAAGAUAAAAUAGUCUAUGAUUUUAUAAAAUAUCAAAGGCUUUUAUUUAAUAGUUUUACCUACUGUUUUAAUCAUUUAAGUGCAUUUAAACUUUUUAUAAAAAUGUUGUUUCUUCACCAUAACUACCUACGCAAUAUCUGUCAUGAUCCGAACAUUUUAGUUUUAACAUCUGAAAACUUUUGUUGUUUGCUUUUAUUUAAAUUUUGAAUUUGUUUCGGUUCCGAACCAUCGAGAGUUUAUCAACAAUAACGGGGUGACGUGGCAUCGUUAACGAGGGAUUACUGUAGCUUAAUUAUCCGGGCGUCACAACAUCUCCCCAUGUUCCUUUGAAAGGGGAAUGGAGUGGAUUUUGUUGGUACCUCCACUCUUUCAGUUGUACUUUUGCAGGAUUGAAGAAUUGUGUGACACCUUUAUAGUCAGUAAAUAAAUCUGGCAGGUUGUUUGCAAUAUGUUGCAAAUCUUCUGAACGCAUGGUUCAGCUCUUUGAGUACGUGGAUUUGAGGCAGAAAUGUGUUGAACAUUCCACUAAUUUCCUGGCAUUCUUUAUGGUACUUGAAUUCUCCCCCUAAUGCCUAGAAAUAUUCCUCAUUGAAUCAACAUACUUGCCUUGAAUAACUCCCCAUGUGAGGGGCUUGAGGUAUUGACGGUAAUACAAUUAUUCCUCACAUAGAUCCCAACUAUAUGUUGAGGGGCCAAUGAUGUAUGUCGGGGUGGUGAUAUCGGUGUGUAGCCGAAUUACCGCAGAUAGGAAAUACUUGGUAGAUUUCCACGUAUCAAAGACAGAGGGGAAUAAUAUUAUGCAGUUUGGUCAUGAGCGUGUAAAACUACAUGACUCCAACGUAAAGUUGGUAAUUUGCAAUUUUAAAGUAAUGAUCAUGGAAUGAGCUCAAUUUUUGGAUGGGAUUCUACCAAACCAUUUUGAGUCUAGACAUUAGGACAAAUUGCUAAACUUCAAUCCGAGGGCCAUAGAGAUGGUACUCAAGGGGAAUUCUGCAAUGCUAUCCAUUCGAUUUGCUUGAAAUCGAUGUCAGGAUAAUGAGCCAAUGGUUUCGUGUGAAUAAAGCACACACUUAAGACCAUCAUGUAGAUAUGUCUUUUAGAACCAUGGAAUACCUUAAUAGUCUACUCAAUGGUUGGGAAGAGCCACUUACCUCGACUUGAUGCAUUCAAGGAGUCUGAGUGGUUCAGCAUACACUUUAAGGUGCGCGAGCCUUAAAAUUAGCUUCCCUGUGUCACUUGUAGUGCACACAAAAUUCAAAUAUUGUUAGAAUUUUGCAUCAUAAUAAUCAUAAACUAUUGGAAUUGCUGAUAGUUUCGGUUUCAACCCAAUGUCUCGAUGACCCAGGCGAGUAUGCCAAGUUUGUCAUGUACAAGACAUUCUGGAAAACUACCUCGUACGCAACAUGUGCUACGGGUUGAGUCGUAUGUGUAGUACAUGUUGGGAAUCGUAGCAUAAUUUAAAAUUUUCCUACGCUCACCAAGAUGCAUCUAUGGAGUAUACUAGCAACGAGGGGAAAGGAGUGCAUCUACAUACCCUUGUAGAUCGCGAGCGGAAGCAUUCCAAUGAACGUGGAUGACGGAGUCGUACUCGCCGUGAUCCAAAUCACCGAUGACCGAGUGCCGAACGGACGACACCUCCGCGUUCAACACACGUACGGUGCAGCGACGUCUCCUCCUUCUUGAUCCAGCAAGGGGGAAGGAGAGGUUGAUGGAGAUCCAGCAGCACGACGGCGUGGUGGUGGAUGUAGCGGUUCUCCGGCAGGGCUUCGCCGAGCUUCUGCGAGAGAGAGAGAGAGGUGUUGCAGGGGAGGAGGGAGGCGCCCAAGGCUGUAGGUUGCUGCCCUCCCUCCCCCCCCCUUUAUAUAGGCCCCCUGGGGGGCGCCGGCCCAGGGAGAUGGGAUCUCCAGGGGGGGCGGCCAAAGGGGGGAAGGGGUUGCCUUGCCCCCCAAGGCAAGGGGGAAGCCCCCCCACCCUAGGGUUCCCAACCCUAGGCGCAUGGGGGGAGGCCCAAGGGGGCGCAACAGCCCACUAAGGGCUGGUUCCCUUCCACUUUCAGCCCACGGGGCCCUCUGGGAUAGGUGGCCCCACCCGGUGGACCCCCGGGACCCUUCCGGUGGUCCCGGUACAAUACCGGUAACCCCCGAAACUUUCCCGGUGGCCGAAACUUGACUUCCUAUAUAUAAUUCUUCACCUCCGGACCAUUCCGGAACCUCUCGUGACGUCCGGGAUCUCAUCCGGGACUCCGAACAACUUUCGGGUUUCCGCAUACAUAUAUCUCUACAACCCUAGCGUCACCGAACCUUAAGUGUGUAGACCCUACGGGUUCGGGAGACAUGCAGACAUGACCGAGACGCCUCUCCGGUCAAUAACCAACAGCGGGAUCUGGAUACCCAUGUUGGCUCCCACAUGUUCCACGAUGAUCUCAUCGGAUGAACCACGGUGUCGAGGAUUCAAUCAAUCCCGUAUACAAUUCCCUUUGUCAAUCGGUAUGUUACUUGCCCGAGAUUCGAUCGUCGGUAUCCCAAUACCUUGUUCAAUCUCGUUACCGGCAAGUCUCUUUACUCGUACCGCAAUGCAUGAUCCCGUGACUAAUGCCUUAGUCACAUUGAGCUCAUUAUGAUGAUGCAUUACCGAGUGGGCCCAGAGAUACCUCUCCGUCACACGGAGUGACAAAUCCCAGUCUCGAUCCGUGCCAACCCAACAGACACUUUCGGAGAUACCCGUAGUGCACCUUUAUAGUCACCCAGUUACGUUGUGACGUUUGGCACACCCAAAGCACUCUUACGGUAUCCGGGAGUUGCAUGAUCUCAUGGUCCAAGGAAAAGAUACUUGACAUUGGAAAAGCUCUAGCAAACGAAACUACACGAUCUUUUAUGCUAUGCUUAGGAUUGGGUCUUGUCCAUCACAUCAUUCUCCUAAUGAUGCGAUCCCGUUAUCAAUGACAUCCAAUGUCCAUAGUCAGGAAACCAUGACUAUCUGUUGAUCAACGAGCUAGUCAACUAGAGGCUUACUAGGGACACGUUGUGGUCUAUGUAUUCACACAUGUAUUACGAUUUCCGGACAAUACAAUUAUAGCAUGAACAAUAGACAAUUAUCAUGAACAAAGAAAUAUAAUAAUAACCAUUUAUUAUUGCCUCUAGGGCAUAUUUCCAACAGUCUCCCACUUGCACUAGAGUCAAUAAUCUAGUUACAUUGUGAUGAAUCGAACACCCAUUGCGUCCUGGUGUUGAUCAUGUUUUGCCCUAGGGAGAGGUUUAGUCAACGGAUCUGCUACAUUCAGGUCCGUAUGUACUUUACAAAUAUCUAUGUCUCCAUUUUGAACACUUUCACGAAUGGAGUUGAAGCGACGCUUGAUAUGCCUGGUCUUCCUGUGAAACCUGGGCUCCUUGGCAAGGGCAAUAGCUCCAGUGUUGUCACAGAAGAGAGUCAUCGGGCCCGACGCAUUGGGAAUCACCCCUAGGUCGGUAAUGAACUCCUUCAUCCAGACUGCUUCCUGCGCUGCCUCCGAGGCUGCCAUGUACUCCGCUUCACAUGUAGAUCCCGCCACGACGCUUUGCUUGCAACUGCACCAGCUUACUGCUCCUCCAUUCAAAAUAUACACGUAUCCGGUCUGUGACUUCGAGUCAUCCAGAUCUGUGUCGAAGCUAGCGUCGACGUAACCCUUUACGACGAGCUCUUCGUCACCUCCAUAAACGAGAAACAUAUCCUUAGUCCUUUUCAGGUACUUUAGGAUAUUCUUGACCGCUGUCCAGUGUUCCAUGCCGGGAUUACUUUGGUACCUUCCUACCAAACUUACGGCAAGGUUUACAUCAGGUCUGGUACACAACAUGGCAUACAUAAUAGACCCUAUGGCCGAGGCAUAGGGGAUGACACUCAUCUUUUCUAUAUCUUCUGCCGUGGUCGGGCAUUGAGCCGUGCUCAAUUGCACACCUUGCAAUACAGGCAAGAACCCCUUCUUGGACUGAUCCAUACUGAACUUCUUCAAUAUCUUGUCAAGGUAUGUACUCUGUGAAAGACCAAUGAGGCGUCUUGAUCUAUCUCUAUAGAUCUUGAUGCCUAAUAUAUAAGCAGCUUCUCCAAGGUCCUUCAUUGAAAAACAUUUAUUCAAAUAGGCCUUUAUACUUUCCAAGAAUUCUAUAUCAUUUCCCAUCAAUAAUAUGUCAUCCACAUAUAAUAUGAGAAAUGCUACAGAGCUCCCACUCACUUUCUUGUAAACACAGGCUUCUCCAUAAGUCUGUGUAAACCCAAACGCUUUGAUCAUCUCAUCAAAGCGAAUGUUCCAACUCCGAGACGCUUGCACCAGCCCAUAGAUUGAGCGCUGGAGCUUGCAUACUUUGUUAGCAUUCUUAGGAUCGACAAAACCUUCCGGCUGCAUCAUAUACAACUCUUCCUUAAGGAAGCCGUUAAGGAAUGCCGUUUUGACGUCCAUCUGCCAUAUCUCAUAAUCAUAGUAUGCGGCAAUUGCUAACAUGAUUCGGACGGACUUCAGCUUCGCUACGGGUGAGAAAGUCUCAUCGUAGUCAACCCCUUGAACUUGUCGAUAACCCUUAGCGACAAGUCGAGCUUUGUAGAUGGUCACAUUACCAUCUGCGUCCGUCUUCUUCUUAAAGAUCCAUUUGUUUUCUAUGGCUCGCCGCUCAUCGGGCAAGUCAGUCAAAGUCCAUACUUUGUUUUCAUACAUGGAUCCUAUCUUGGAUUUCAUGGCUUCUAGCCAUUUGUCGGAAUCCGGGCCCGCCAUCGCUUCUUCAUAGUUCGAAGGUUCACCGUUGUUUAACAACAUGAUUUCCAGGAUAGGGUUACUAUACCACUCUGGUGCGGAACGCGUCCUUGUGGACCUACGAAGUUCGGUAACUUGAUCCGAAGCUUCAUGAUCAUCAUCAUUAACUUCCUCCCCAGUCGGUGUAGGCACCACAGGAACAUUUUCCCGCGCUGCGCUACUUUCCGGUUCGGAAGGGGUGACUAUCACCUCAUCAAGUUCCACUUUCCUCCCACUCAAUUCUUUCGAGAGAAACUCCUUCUCCAGAAAGGACCCAUUCUUGGCAACGAAGAUCUUGCCUUCGGAUCUGAGGUAGAAGGUAUACCCAAUAGUUUCCUUAGGGUAUCCUAUGAAGACGCAUUUUUCCGAUUUGGGUUCGAGCUUUUCAGGUUGAAGUUUCUUGACAUAAGCAUCGCAUCCCCAAACUUUUAGAAACGACACCUUAGGUUUCUUCCCAAACCAUAAUUCAUACGGUGUCGUCUCAACGGAUUUCGACAGAGCCCUAUUUAAAGUGAAUGCGGCAGUCUCUAAAGCAUAGCCCCAAAAUGAGAGCGGUAAAUCGGUAAGAGACAUCAUAGAUCGCACCAUAUCCAAUAGAGUGCGAUUACGACGUUCGGACACACCGUUUCUCUGAGGUGUUCCAGGCGGCGUGAGUUUUGAAACUAUUCCACAUUUCCUUAAGUGUGUACCAAAUUCGUGACUUAAAUAUUCUCCACCACGAUCUGAUCGUAAGAAUUUUAUUUUCCUGUCACGUUGAUUCUCGACUUCACUCUGAAAUUCCUUGAACUUUUCAAAGGUUUCAGACUUGUGUUUCAUUAGGUAGACAUACCCAUAUCUACUUAAAUCAUCAGUGAGAGUGAGAACAUAACAAUAUCCUCCACGAGCCUCAACACUCAUUGGACCGCGCACAUCGGUAUGUAUGAUUUCCAAUAAGUUGGUUGCUCGCUCCAUUGUUCCGGAGAACGGAGUCUUGGUCAUCUUACCCAUGAGGCAUGGUUCGCACGUGUCAAAUGAUUCGUAAUCAAGAGACUCCAAAAGUCCAUCUGCAUGGAGCUUCUUCAUGCGCUUGACACCAAUGUGACCAAGGCGGCAGUGCCACAAGUAUGUGGGACUAUCGUUAUCAACUUUACAUCUUUUGGUAUUCACACUAUGAAUAUGUGUAACAUCACGUUCGAGAUUCAUCAAAAAUAAACCAUUGACCAGCGGGGCAUGACCAUAAAACAUAUCUCUCAAAUAAACAGAACAACCAUUAUUCUCGGAUUUAAAUGAGUAGCCAUCUCGAAUUAAACGAGAUCCAGAUACAAUGUUCAUGCUCAAAGCUGGCAGUAAAUAACAAUUAUUGAGGUUUAAAACUAAUCCCGUGGGUAGAUGCAGAGGUAGCGUGCCGACGGCGAUCACAUCGACCUUGGAACCAUUCCCGACGCGCAUCGUCACCUCGUCCUUCGCCAGUCUCCGUUUAUUCCGUAGUUCCUGCUUUGAGUUACAAAUAUGAGCAACCGCACCAGUAUCAAAUACCCAGGAGCUACUACGAGUACUGGUAAGGUACACAUCAAUUACAUGUAUAUCACAUAUACCUUUGGUGUUGCCGGCCUUCUUCUUGUCCGCUAAGUAUUUGGGGCAGUUCCGCUUCCAGUGACCACUUCCCUUGCAAUAAAAGCACUCAGUCCCGGGCUUGGGUCCAUUCUUUGACUUCUUCCCAGUAACUGGUUUACCGGGCGCGGCAACUCCCUUGCCGUCCUUCUUGAAGUUCUUCUUACCCUUGCCCUUCUUGAACUUGGUGGUUUUAUUCACCAUCAACACUUGAUGUUCUUUUCUGAUCUCCCCUUCCGUUGAUUUCAGCAUUGAAUAUACCUCGGGAAUGGUCUCUUCCAUCCCCUGCAUAUUGUAGUUCAUCACAAAGCUCUUGAAGCUUGGUGGAAGCGAUUGGAGGAUUCUGUUAAUGACCGCGUCAUCCGGGAGAUUGACUCCCAGCUGAGACAAGCGGUUAUGCAACCCAGACAUUCUGAGUAUGUGCUCACUAACAGAACUAUUCUCCUCCAUUUUACAGCUGAAGAACUUGUCGGAGACUUCAUAUCUCUCGACCCGGGCAUGAGCUUGAAAAACCAGUUUCAGCUCCUCGAACAUCUCAUAUGCUCCAUGUUUCUCAAAACGCUUUUGGAGACCCGGUUCUAAGCUGUAAAGCAUGCCGCACUGAACGAGGGAGUAAUCAUCAGCACGCUGCUGCCAAGCAUUCAUAACGUCUUGGUUCUCUGGGAUUGGUGCUUCACCUAGCGGUGCUUCUAAGACAUAAUCUUUCUUGGCUACUAUGAGGAUGAUCCUCAGGUUCCGGACCCAGUCCGUAUAGUUGCUGCCAUCAUCUUUCAGCUUGGUUUUCUCUAGGAACGCGUUGAAAUUGAGGACAACGUUGGCCAUUUGAUCGACAAGACAUAGUGUAAAGAUUUUAGACUAAGUUCAUGAUAAUUAAGUUCAUCUAAUCAAAUUACUCAAUGAACUCCCACUCAGAUAGACAUCCCUCCAGUCAUCAAAGUGAAACAUGAUCCUAGUUAACUAGGCCGUGUCCGAUCAUCACGUGAGACGGACUAGUCAAGAUCGGUGAACAUCUCCAUGUUGAUCGUAUCUUCUAUACGACUCAUGCUCGACCUUUCGGUCCUCCGUGUUCCGAGGCCAUCUCUGUACAUGCUAGGCUCGUCAAGUCAACCUAAGUGUAUUGCGUGUGUUCCGAGGCCAUGUCUGUACAUGCUAGGCUCGUCAACACCCGUUGUAUGCGAACGUUAGAAUCUAUCACACCCGAUCAUCACGUGGUGCUUCGAAACAACGAACCUUCGCAACGGUGCACAGUUAGGGUGAACACUUUCUUGAAAUUAUUAUAAGGGAUCAUCCUACUUGCUACCGUCGUUCUAAGCAAAUAAGAUGCAAAAACAUGAUAAACAUCACAUGCAAUCAAAUAGUGACAUGAUAUGGCCAAUAUCAUUACGCUCCUUUGAUCUCCAUCUUCGGGGCACCAUGAUCAUCUUCGUCACCGGCAUGACACCAUGAUCUCCAUCAUUGUGUCUUCAUGAAGUCGUCACGCCAACGAUUACUUCUACUUCUAUGGCUAACGCGUUUAGCAACAAAGUAAAGUAAUUUACAUGGCGUUAUUCAAUGACACGCAGGUCAUGCAAAAUAAUAAAGACAACUCCUAUGGCUCCUGCCGGUUGUCAUACUCAUCGACAUACAAGUCGUGAUUCCUAUUACAAGAAUAUGAUCAAUCUCAUACAUCACAUAUAUCAUUCAUCACAUCUUCUGGCCAUAUCACAUCACAUAGCACUUGCUGCAAAAACAAGUUAGACGUCCUCUAAUUGUUGUUGCAAGUUUUUUACGUGGUUUGUAGGUUUCUAGCAAGAACGUUUUCUUACCUAUGUAUGACCACAACGUGAUUUGCCAAUUUCUAUUUACCCUUCAUAAGGACCCUUUUCAUCGAAUCCGUUCCGACUAAAGUAGGAGAGACAGACACCCGCUAGCCACCUUAUGCAACUAGUGCAUGUCAGUCGAUGGAACCUGUCUCACGUAAGCGUACGUGUAAGGUCGGUCCGGGCCGCUUCAUCCUACAAUGCCGCCGAAACAAGAAAAGACUAGUAGCGGCAAGAAGAAUUGGCAAACUCAACGCCCACAACUGCUUUGUGUUCUACUCGUGCAUAGUAACUACGCAUAGGCCUGGCUCUGAUACCACUGUUGGGAAUCGUAGCGUAAUUUUAAAAUUUUCCUACGCUCACCAAGAUGCAUCCCUCCCCCCCUUUAUAUAGGCCCCCUGGGGGGGCGCCGGCCCAGGGAGAUGGGAUCUCCAAGGGGGGGGCGGCGGCCAAAGGGGGGAAGGGGUUGCCUUGCCCCCCAAGGCAAGGGGGAAGCCCCCCCACCCUAGGGUUCCCAACCCUAGGCGCAUGGGGGGAGGCCCAAGGGGGGCGCCCCAGCCCACUAAGGGCUGGUUCCCUUCCACUUUCAGCCCACGGGGCCCUCCGGGAUAGGUGGCCCCACCCGGUGGACCCCCGGGACCCUUCCGGUGGUCCCGGUACAAUACCGGUAACCCCCGAAACUUUCCCGGUGGCCGAAACUUGACUUCCUAUAUAUAAUUCUUCACCUCCGGACCAUUCCGGAACCUCUCGUGACGUCCGGGAUCUCAUCCGGGACUCCGAACAACUUUCGGGUUUCCGCAUACAUAUAUCUCUACAACCCUAGCGUCACCGAACCUUAAGUGUGUAGACCCUACGGGUUCGGGAGACAUGCAGACAUGACUGAGACGCCUCUCCGGUCAAUAACCAACAGCGGGAUCUGGAUACCCAUGUUGGCUCCCACAUGUUCCACGAUGAUCUCAUCGGAUGAACCACGGUGUCGAGGAUUCAAUCAAUCCCGUAUACAAUUCCCUUUGUCAAUCGGUAUGUUACUUGCCCGAGAUUCGAUCGUCGGUAUCCCAAUACCUUGUUCAAUCUCAUUACCGGCAAGUCUCUUUACUCGUACCGCAAUGCAUGAUCCCGUGACUAACGCCUUAGUCACAUUGAGCUCAUUAUGAUGAUGCAUUACCGAGUGGGCCCAGAGAUACCUCUCCGUCACACGGAGUGACAAAUCCCAGUCUCGAUCCGUGCCAACCCAACAGACACUUUCGGAGAUACCCGUAGUGCACCUUUAUAGUCACCCAGUUACGUUGUGACGUUUGGCACACCCAAAGCACUCUUACGGUAUCCGGGAGUUGCACGAUCUCAUGGUCUAAGGAAAAGAUACUUGACAUUGGAGAAGCUCUAGCAAACGAAACUAUACGAUCUUUUAUGCUAUGCUUAGGAUUGGGUCUUGUCCAUCACAUCAUUCUCCUAAUGAUGUGAUCCCGUUAUCAAUGACAUCCAAUGUCCAUAGUCAGGAAACCAUGACUAUCUGUUGAUCAACGAGCUAGUCAACUAGAGGCUUACUAGGGACACGUUGUGGUCUAUGUAUUCACACAUGUAUUACGAUUUCCGGACAAUACAAUUAUAGCAUGAACAAUAGACAAUUAUCAUGAACAAAGAAAUAUAAUAAUAACCAUUUAUUAUUGCCUCUAGGGCAUAUUUCCAACAGUACAAUCCAGAUGAUACAUAGAGAAUGUGCUUGCCAUAUCCGUUGCAUAUGGUAAAGAGUAGUUAUUUCUCUUUGUUGUCAUCAUAAGUUUCGCUAUGGAAACUAUUUUUACGGAUACCUCUAUAGUUUAGUAGGGUACGAGUUAAACUUGGGAAGCAAUAAAGCAUCCCUACGUUACUCGAGUACCCACAAGGAUAGUAAAUAUGACUCGAGUUGAGCCAACAAAUACCUCAUCACGUCUAGUGAUUUUAAAAUAUCUCCUUUCUCUCGACGAGAGUGGAAACAUUUCACUUCCCUGAGUAUAGAGUUUGUGGUGCAUAUGUCCACAAGGCACAUAUCAUCUUUCAUCAGAUUGACCCCCGUAGAAAUCUAUAUAUAGAUAUGAAGAUUCUCAAUAUGAAAAUCACUCCGAUAUAUAGAAUACAUACAAAUGUAUUUGUACCAAAGUGCUGAUACAAUAUAUUGUGAUAUACAAUAUAUGUUGACAACAAUACUUAUGUUCUUGUUACAACAUUGUAAAUGGACAUUAAUUAUAUUGAUCACUCGGGAGAUUGAGAGACUGGUCUAAGUCUCCAAACAUGUUAGUUGAGUCAUAUUCAACCAUCAUGUUCUCCGUGCCCAUAGGAUCACAUUAUCAUUGGUGAUGUCGGGUUGAAGGUCGAAGCCUUUGCCCUUGAGUUCAUUGUGAUCCUGACUAAUACAGAAUAACCAGAUGCCGAGAUCUGAAUCUAAUGCCUUAUAAUGUAUAAGACAACAUUUUUCUGUUAGCAGUGUGAUCCUGACCAGAAGUGAAUCCUGGACUGCACACAUUAUCCCACGAGACACAAGAGUGAUCAUGAUGUCCAUGGCCCAGAUAGGGCAGUGGUGGCCAUUGAGGGCGAAUGCCUCAAAUUCUAUAGCCAUAUGUUACCGCUAUGGGUAAACCAGAGAUAAUCGAUUUACGUUUAGUAAAUUAAAGACCAUCAUGGUUGAUGUUGUAAUGAACUUAGCAAAAUCAAUGGGUAUUUCAAGAAGUUAUCUUGAAACCAUUAGUGUGAAUCUCAAAUUGCUAAAUAUGACACCUUGAAAAUAAUCUCCAAAAUGGAGUAGAUCUCGCAGCACUAGGGAGUAUAAUCUGAUGAAAUCAGUAGAUACUUACUCAUAAUGCCUUAUGUCACGACUUAGUAAAAUGUGUGAGAGAGCACUUUGCAAAGCAAUCAUAAUGUCCAAAACGACAAAAUGUAGGCUUUAUCAGUAGUCAUCGAUAAUCUGCGUAGGUAGUAGAUCCAUAUGACUACCUUGUGAUCCCAAGCAUCAAUUUGACGAAAUCACUUUGAAUUUUGCAUCUGUAUUUGCAUGAAAUUGAAAAUUUCAAUUGCAAAUAGACGUAUUAAUCUCGACAUGUGUUAAACAUGGAGAUACAUACAUUCUGGAAUACAUCAUACUCAACAGAAAUACACUACUAUUGUAAUGAAUAGUAAUGAUGUUCUAUAGGUCUUAACUUAAAUGAGAUGAUCUUGUAUCAAGUUGCAAGAUAAUUCAGCAAAGUGAAUUAAUAUUCUGCUAGAGAAAAAUUAAUCUCAAUCGCAAUGAGAGUGUUUUGCGAGAGAAGAAAAUUCUCAACGCAAAUUAGUACUCUAGAGGUACUGAAUUUAUCUUUGCAAGAAAUUAAAAAUCUCAAUUGCAAAUCAACAUUGUUAUGCGAGAAAACUUAAUCUCAAUCGUAAAACAAUGUCAUUGUACCGGUAAAGAAUAUGUUAUAGAUCAAGCAAAUAACAGCCACAUAUUUCUGGAAUUUUAAAACUCUACAGAAAAUGGACUAAAUGCAGUUCUAUACAUGGCCUGUAGUGUUUAAUGCAAAACACAAUUGUACAGUUUAGUUCUAACAGAAGAACAUAGCCCAUGACGUGCGUGCAGGAAGAAAGCCAUGUCGGACCUGAGAUUUGAUGGUCUUUCAAAUUGACCAGCACAUAGCGAAUGUGAGUAUUGGAUAAGGCGCAUGAUCGAUUUAGAGGAGAACGAACAAUUCGCUACAAUCCUCAGGCCGCAUCGCCUUUUUCACCACAUCAUACUGCCAUGUUUCUGUGGCGCUCCAGUAUACAUGCUGGGAGGUCACGGCUGUACGCACAUGGAGCAUUGAGGACUAUACGGAUUUCAUAUAAUGCGAGGGUUAAAAUGAAAAAUAGCGGAAGAGAUAAGGAUCUCCUCUCCCGUAUGGUUCCUGGUCGGGAUUUCUCCCGUAACCGUUGCUGCCGCCCGGGAGGGGCUGGCCGCGCCGGGCACCGCAGCACUGCAGGCCGCCUGAAUGCGCCGUCGACGUUCCGUGCCGCAGGCCUUGCUGCAGUACCGCCGCCUCCGCUGAUUUCCUUAGGUGUCCGUGCCAUGGGAAACCACGCCAGAGGAUGCCUCGUGCCGGGCUCGGGCCUGGCCGGCCGUCGGGGGCGGGCUGCUCACAGUCAGCCGGAGGGAGAGCCCUCGCCAUCUCCGCCACGGGCAGGGCCGUGGCCGCAGGCACUCCAUGUCGGAUGCCGGGAGCCGCGUCGGGCGCUGCCUCGCCUCCAUCGGCCGCCUUCGCCGUCGCCAGGACGUAGAAGAUGCGGGUGCGCCGCUGUGGGCUCCGCCGCGAGCCGCGACGGGGAAGGCGCCGUGGUCCGCGCGCGGGAGGUCGAGGCCGGACUGUGCCCCGCCAUAGGCGCCCAGGCUCCGGUCGGGAGGCGGUGGCCACUCCGCCGUGCCUCGCGUAGCAGGCCGGGGUCGCUGAUGCGCCGCUGUCGGCCGUGCCGGAGAGAGCCGCAUAUGCGGCCACUGCUGACGGCGUCUGGGAGUAGGGGAAGGAGAGGGUGAGACCAAACCAUGCGCUGGAGGACACCGGGGUCGAGCGCCGGCGCCCGGGCUGCAUCGCCUCGUUGCCGGAAGAUGUCUCGCCACGAGCGCUCAAUGGACUCGUGGCCUCCUGCUCUCGCCAGAGCGUGCUGAUAACGUGUUUGAGUUUACCGAGAGAAGCGAGAGACAAAGCAUCUGAUUCAAGUGUGUAAAUCUUUAUUGAUGAUCUCAUUUAUAUACAGGUACGAGGGACGCCUCCGGAGAGGCGCCUAUUCACAGCGACCACCGAAGGAUCCGCUAGCGGUUACCAAGUCUGGAACCGACGCCUGGCGGUUUCCUUAAGCAUGGAUUAAUAAUAGGAUUAAAUAAAUCCUAACACUCCCCCUAAUCAAUGCUAUUGUGUCAACUACUUUCUCCAGAUCUAAUCGACAAGUAAAAUGUUGUUUAUGCUCGGAGUGCGGUAUCUUUGUUCUUGGUCUGAUUAGAAUUGCUGUCGCAGUGUAUGCUCAUGAUGGGAUGAAUGCCCUUUGUUUUUAGUUCUCCUGUCUAUUUUUCUCGCUUUGGCAAAUUGUUUUGUUAUGCUGUUUCCCACUAUGCUGCUGUUGGCAUGGUCUGUGAUCUUGCUCGGCCAAACUGACCCUACGCUAUUGAAAACUACAACAUGCAUUUGUUGUCUUCAUGUAUGACGCUUAUGUUUCUUGAUCACUGGCUGACAAUUAACAUGGAUCGGAGGGAGUACAAAUUUUCUUCUAACUUGCAC